UUUUUUCCUCUUGAGGACUUUCUUGCUGUGUUGAGAGUGAACCUAUUCAAUUCCAUAGUUUUUCUUUUUUUCUUUUAAGAUUUUUUUAUUUAUUUGUAAGGUGGAGUUACAGAGAGGCAGAGAGAGAAGAGAGAGAGAGAGAGAGAGAGGCAGAGAGAGGGAGAGGGGGAGAGAGAGAGAGAGAGAGAGAGGUCUUCAACCCAAUGAUUCACUCCCCACAUGGCUGCAAUGGCCAGAGCUGGGCCCAUCCAAAGCCAGGAGCCAGGAGUUUCUUUUUCUUUCUUUCUUUCUUUUUUUUUUUUUUUAAACAUUUGAUUUAUUUAUUUGAGAGAGAGAGUUACAGACAGUGAGGGGAAGAGGCAGAGAAAAAGGCCUUCCAUCUGUUGGUUCACUCCCAAAUGGUCGUAAUGGCUGGAGCUGUGCUGAUCCUAAGCCAGGAGCCAAGAGCUUCUUCCCAGACUUCCACUCAGGUGCAAGGGCCCAAAGACUUGGGCCAUCCUCUACUGCUAUCCCAGUCCAUUACAGAGAGCUGGAUUGGAAGAGGAGCAGCCAGGACUCGAACUGGCACCCAUAUAGAAUGCCAGCGCCGCAGGCAGAGGAUUAACCUACUGCGCUAUGGCACUUGCCCCAAGGAGCCAGGAGUUUCUUCGAGGUCUCCCAUGUGGCUGCAGGGGCUCAAGAGCUUGGGCUAUCUUCUACAGCUUUCCCAGGUCAUACCACAGAGCUGGAUUGGAAGUAGAGCAGCCGGUUCUUGAACUGGUGCCCAUAUGGGAUGCCAGCACUGCAGGCAGCGGCUUUACCUGCUACACCACAAUGCUGGCCCCUUCCAUAGUUAUUCUUCACACAUACCAGAACCACAGAAAAUUCUCUACCCUCUGAUCUCAUCUGGACAGGUAAUUCCUUUAUUGUGAAAUGACUAAUGGCUCUCUAUGACUUAAAGAAUAAAGCUCUAGUUCCUCACUCAAAGGUUUCUAACCUGGUACCAGCUCACCCUCUGCCCUUAUCCACAAUCGCACACCAGCCUCAAUGGUGUGUGUGCUGUUGCUGAGUCACUACUUCCCAUGCCUUUGCUUGUCCAAGGUCCCCUUUCUUCUCACCAUCUCUUUAAGUUCUGUCUUUGAAGUCCUAGAUCAGAAAUGAACUGCUUAGAAACUUGCCUGGUCUCCCAAAUUGGAAAGAAUCCUUUCUCCUUGAGUUACCCUCAUGCAUUCUUUGUAACACUGAUAGAGCACUGGCCUUUCUCACAGGUGCAUUAUUGUCAUUGAAGUGUUUACUUAUGCAUCCUCCUCUUAAUUUUCUUUUGUCAUAUCCUUGCAACACCCAGUACUUUUAGAUUAAUAAUUAUUUAUGGAACACUUACCAUGUGCCAAAUUUCAUAAUACUGUUUCCAUUCAUUGUUUUGUUUAAUAGUUCAUUUUUUAGAUUAUUCAAGUAAAACUUAGAGGUUGAUUGACUUCCCAAGAUUACAAUUUGCCAAUGGAGGAGGCAGAAUUUGAACCCAUAUCUCUCUGACUUCAAAGUCCAUGAUUCUCACUGCCAGUCUAGAAUGCUGCCUCUGGACACUUAAUAUAUACAUGAUGAAUUGAUUUGGAUUAAAUAGUUUUUCCAUUUUAAGAAGUGAUGUACAUUGAACUGAGCUCAUGGAACAGCCUCCUGUCAUGACUGCUGUUGCUGCAGCUGCAGCUGCCUGUAAUUCUUAGCCUAGGAGAUUGCCUAUUAGGGGCACAGGGAGAUUAAGAGCCCUAGAGAGUCAUUAAGGAUCGAGGUACAUUGCUGAUGUUGGCCAGCCAUGCAGUAGCUGGACAAAGGUGAUGUGUUGGACACAUUUGCCAUGUGAAGGAAAGAACAGCCGAGUGUUACCCAGCACAUUCAUCAUGCUGACAGAUGGUCUGCCUGCCUCAGGUUCUUCCACAGGCAACUCCCUUUCUCACAAGUUCAUGUUGUGCACCUGCUAGUUUGAAGGGGCUUAGAUGGGGAACCAGGGCACUCUUUUAAUAGCUGGAAGAAAAGGUUAGGCUUUCCCAAAUUUUAACUGCCUGUGCUGUGCAUGCCUGGGACACUGACCCUUUUCUUCUUGUAGUUACGGUGCAACCCUGUCAGUGCAUUUAAAAUGUAAGCUUGCCUUCUGGUCCCACACUCAGAAUGCUUCCUCGUUACAGCUUCACACAUAGCGCUGAGAAUGGCUGCCGCCAACCUGUCAGGUAAGCAUUCAUUCUGAGGAAAUUUGCUGCCCCUUGGAUUUAUUUUUGUUGGCUCAGUGGGCAGAUUCUAAUUUGAGCCUGGCAAAAUUUAGCCUACCCAGGGCUGGUGGGCAGGUGUUGAAUUUAAUGACUGGGCAGCUUGGUUGUUAGAGCAUCCAGAUCGUCCAGGCUGACAUCACCUCAAUAGGAAACUCAAGUUGUACUUGGUAUAGAUAUGGAGAUUCUGGAGCCCUCUCUCUCUCUCUCUCUCUCUCUCUCUCUCUCUCUCUCUCUCUCUGUGUGUGUGUGUGUGUGUGUCUGUCUCUGUCUCGCUUGGUGUGUGUGUGUGUGUGUGUAUCUCCCUUUAUGCCUUGAGCUGCUAUAUUCAACAGGCAAACUUAUUCAGACACAAAGGUAGAUAAAUCUACAUCCAUCCUCAAAUUGAGCAGAGUACGAGGAAGAAGUUUUUGAUACAGAAAAAACAGACUGAAACAAAAAAGUCCGAGCAUGACGCUUCUCCUUCCCCCGUGUUUGCUUUUUAAUAGGGAAGCACGUUGAGCAUCUACUCAGAGUAGAACUGUUUGCAUAUAGGUCUCUUUGAAUCUUCCCGCUAGGCCUUUGAGGUAGAUUUCUCAGUCCCUUCUUCACAGAAGACUGAGAGCCAGUCUCUACAGUGGCAGAGUCAUACAGAUGGUGGUGGGGUUGGGAUCCACCACAGGCUCAUCUGAUUGUAUGCUCACCUUGUCUGCUACUAUGAAUUGCCACAUUUGUUUUUAAAGGGAAAGAGUUUAUUGGGGGAAACCGGACAGACUGGAGGGAAGGAGCAAAGGAAUAGAGGGAGAAGGAGAAUGCAAGAGAGAGGGAGACACACAGAGAGAGACAGAGAUCAGGAGAGAAAGAGAGAGGCGUGUGUUCAGGAACAGGUCUUUUUAAAAUUUCUCCAAGGGCCAGGCAGGGAAGUAGGAGCAGCGAAUCCCAUUAGGAUGGGGGUGGGACUGACAGGGCCAUGUGGCUCCCUGGCUUCCAGCAAUGGUGGCGGGGGCUAGAGCCUAGGAUGGGCUCUAGGGUGUCAGGGUAUAGAUUGCGCCAUACAUAAGACUGCACCAUUUUACUAACAUUCUCCCUUUUUGUUUUUUAUAAUGCAGGAGUUGUAUGAGAUUACAUUAGUCCCAAAAGUCCAGGAGGGGUAGAGGGACAGUGAUCUCUCUUUAGAGCUACUUCCUGCAGAUGGGGUGAUGAGUACUCUUCGCUGGUAUGGGUCGAUGUCUCAAGCCACUGUCUCUUGAGUGGGAGCUGAGUAUAUCCCUGUAGCAGCACUUGGUUGACCACCUGUUUGCUGAAGGCCUUCGUUUGUUCCAUUGUAACCUGCUGUAAACACUUAAACAGACACUGUAGUAUAAUAGACAGCGUGAGAAUAGCAACCAGUGAUCCUAAGAGUGGCAUUAACCAGGUAAUGAGAAGAUUUCAUAGAGGAGAGGAAAUGAGGGGUGGGGGGUGUCUCUGGAUCCUUGUGAAGACUGUUUAAUGAAUGUGGUUUAAAUCUGAUCCCAGUCAAGACCGGGGGAAAGGCCACUCAACUUUUGCUGGUAGAGGGGUUUGUCUAUAGAGAAAUUCUGAAUAGUCAUACAACAUGAAGUGGAGUGGAGGACCAUCAAUGCACACAGGUUGGGAGUAGAGCCAUUGAUGUUAGAGUAGAGGCUAUGAUUACAAUGGAAUGAGGCCCCAAAUGGGCUAGAUAGGUUCUAGAACAAAUGACAGAGUCAUUACUAGAGGACCUGAGAAAGGUGCUAUCUAAGCCACAACUAAGUUUUCUGAUAGAGAGAAUUGCCACAUUUCUUACAGCACCUCACACUGCCUUCUCUCUGAAACAAACCAGUUAGUAAUGAGAAGAGGUGAAAUGUUAGAAGGAAUCAAUACUAGCCCGUUUAUUGCUGUGUUUAAUGGACAGCUCUCUGCCAAAUUGCCCAAAGUAUUUUGUACAGUCUUAGAAUAUCCACGCUUGAAACUCUUGAUCAAUAUACCCUACAACUCCAAGAGGGUAGAUAUCUACCCAGAGUAACAUCCUCUGGACAAAAGACCCAGAGCAGCCAUAUCUCAUCCAUGGUUUUUUCAGGGAGGAAAGAUAAUAGUGGUUCAAGGUCAAGCUAAUUGCUUGUAAAACCCAGGGGGUACAUUGUGAAUUCACACAUUUUUGGCAUAUUUUGAGUGAAGUCUUCAUUGGUCGCUAAUAUCUGACUCUCCCAAGUCUUGUAGGGUUGAGAGAUGGGCCAGGGCAAUUUGCAGUCCUGGUAAGAGAGUCCUGAGACCAGACAAACUUCUGUUACUAUAUUGGACCAAAAUAUUUGUACUCAGUUCCCUAGAGGUCUGAAUACAGAUCGCAUAAUAGAUCUCAAAUGCAUAACCUGGAAUCUAUGCAUCUGCUUAGCCAGUGCUUAAAGCUGUAGAUUAAAUAACUCACACAUUGGCCCUCAGUUCAAGAGACUCCCAAUAAAAUCCUAACAGCGUUACACAAUUUUAGGAUAUAGCUGUUGAGAUUUAAAGAGACACCAUUAUUUAGGGGAAUUUAUCUCCUUGGAACUUACUGAAGAACAUGGAAACAGAAGAAUGGUAGGAGGAGAGAGGAGGGCAGGAACAUUUGUAUGCAGUGCAAUUCAAUUUAUUUUUGGUUCUGCAUGGUGUCAUUGUGUAUAUUUAAAACAUAAUAUGUAAAAUCUUUUUUGGUCUUUUAUGAAAUCUUUUCUUACUGCCUAUAAUGCUUUGUUUAAAGCAGAAACAAAGUUGUUUUUUUUAAACUCUUGGUGUCCUAAAGAGUAACCCUAGGUACUAAAUUCUGGUUUAUGACUUGCUUCUCCAAUAUACAGAGGAGUUCUGUAAACUUAGGGCCUGACUCAUUGAGUUGGUUGUAUUUGUUCCCCUUCUCACUUAUGUGAAUCUGAGGAGUAAAUGCUCAAAUGGUUGUUGAGAAAUGAGAAUCGCCCAAACUGCAAUGCACUGACAGACCUCUGGGCUGCAUUCCCGUCUUUCCACCUUUGCUUCUGUUUUGACCUCAAGCUCAUUCCAUUAGGCAAUUCUGGGGAGUGAUGAAGUACAUUAGCAGCAGUGUCAAGGUGUGCUCUUCCUUACAAGAAGGCCUUGUUUAUUUAAGUCUUAUUUAAUUAUUUGAGGGGCAGAGAGUCAAAGAGAAAUGGAGAGUAGGGGGGAGUAGGAGGGAACGCGCCAGAGGGAAUGCGAGAUUGUGUGCUCCAUCUCUGAUGGUUAGCUUCCCAGAUGCUCACAACAGCUCGCUUAGGCCAGGCCAGUGCUGGGAGCUAGGAACUCAUUCCAGGUCUCCCAUGUGGAUGGCAGUGACCCAGUUACUCAAGCCAUUACCUGCUGCCUACCAGGUUCUGAACGGACAGGAAACUGGAAUUGGGGAGGAGCUGAGACUGAAACUCAGGCACACUAAUAUGGGAUGCAGGCAUCACAGGCAGCGGCAUAACCCCUUUCCCAAAUGCCUGCCCCUUAGUCUUUUAAAAGAGUCAUAUAGGAUAUUUUCCACUGCCCAUCCUUUGGAAGUUGAUCUUUACCACUAAAGCCAGUCAUGAGAAUUCCAUCUCCUUUGCUAUCCAACAGUUAUGUUAUAGGUAGGCUAGACCAAUUUGGUCUUCUAAGAUUUGCCUGAAGCACUUGAGAUGGCAGUCUUUCUGAGACUGAGUUUCACUAAAAUAGAGACAAUAAUAGUAUCUAACUCCCUCACUGUUAUAAAGAUUAUGGUGGCCGGCGCCGCAGCUCAAUAGGCUAAUCCUCCACCUAGCGGUGCCGGCACACCGGGUUCUAGUCCCAGUCGGGGCACCGGAUUCUGUCCAGGUUGCCCCUCUUCCAGGCCAGCUCUCUGCUGUGGCCCGGGAAGGCAGUGGAGGAUGGCCCAAGUGCUUGGGCCCUGUACCUCAUGGGGGACCAGGAGAAGCACCUGGCUCCUGGCUCCGGAUCAGCGCCGGCUGCGGCGGCCAUUGGAGGGUGAACCAACGGCAAAUAGGAAGACCUUUCUGUCUGUCUGUCUCUCUCACUGUCCACUCUGCCUGUAAAAAAAAAAAAAAAGAUUAUGGAGUUAUUACCUAGUAAACACUUGACACACAAUAAGUCCUCAGCAAAAUGUUUAUUGUUCUUUAAAAGUUGCUUAACUUUUGCUCCAGAGAUUCUACUUCUAGAAAGUAUGAUGAAGAUAUAAUACAUGUAAGGAUAGGUAGAUACACAAGGAUACUUAGAAAAGCUUGAAAUAAAUGGAAUUAAGAGAUGUUUUGGUACAAAAGUGUUUUGAAAUCCAUGGAUAGCUUUUUCAUAAUGUGUAUUUCCCAUGAACUUUUUCUAUAGGUAUAGAUAGAUGUAAUCUCAGUAUUACUUAAAAUUGGUACCCUAAUUAUCCAAGAAUAUGGGAAAUAUUAACAUUGAAGUAUCUGCCACUGGAAAUACUCUGAAGCUAUUAAAAUUAUAGGUUGAAUUUUAUUUAGUCAAAAGGGAAGAGUUUAUAAUAGGUUAUCUAAUAAGGAGAAGGUUGUUUUCCAAAAUAGAGAUAGAUACAACUACAAAAUAAAUAUAUAUGAUAAUAUAGAGUUAGCAGGAUACCUACCAAAAAUAGGAGAAAGAUAUUUCACAGAAUCACAGCUUUAAAACUGUACACAAAAAACACAGUUGACUGUAUUUUUAAAUCAAUAAAUAUUUAGAUAUUACAGAAGAAAAUAAAAUAAUCUCUAAUCUUGUUAAGAAACAUUACUCAAAAGUUGGGAGAAAGAACUUAAUGUUUUAUUUUAUUUUAAAGAUUUAUUUAUUUAUUUGAAAAGUCAGAGUUCCAGGGAAAGAGGGAGAGACACAGAGAGAGAUCUACCAUUCUCUAGUUUGCUCCCCAAAUGGCAGAAAUUGCCAGGGCUGGGUCAACAACAGUAUCAUAACCUAUUUUCAGGAUAUGGAGAAGAGUUGGCAAAAUGUGAUUUUUGAAUUCAUGCUAAAAGUGAGCAGGGAUAUUUUGAGGUUUUUGUCUUAUGUUUCUCUGAUGUGAUGAGAGAUCAGUACAAAGAAAAAGGUAGAAAUACCAAGUAUUUUAAAAUAAAAUGCACACGAGCAUUAUUGGAUCAGAUUCAUAUUGCACCGAUCUGCUGCUGGACAUAAAAAUUUCAAUGUUUGCCAGUAGACAUCUCUGGCAAGCAUUGCCUAUUAGCAGCAUCUUGAACAACAGAUGAGUGGUUUUACUGUGAUGGUCUCUGGGCUCCGUUUCACAAAACUGCUGUAGACUGUCAUCUGUGAUCAGAUGUGAAAAUACUAACUCUAUGGUAAGCUUUUGUCAUCAGAGAGUAGAUUAGGAUUUUAAGGGCCAGCUCUACUUUUUGAAAAAUUAUGAUAGCAGAAAGAGCUGAUUCAGAUUUAUGUAUGGUUUCAUAUCAACAUAACAGCACCCAUGCCAUAGUUAAAUUGUAUUUGGAAACCAGGGAGUGAUGCCUGCCUUGCUUAGGAUUAUGAAAAUUUACCUGACAAAAUUGGUAAGAUUUACCCAAUAAAAUUGAUCCAUAUGAGUCGUCAAUCUAGAAGUCAGAACCUCCUAAAGUACUUCACUCUCAGUUGUAGUUUUGAUGGUACUGGUGGUGUCAGUAUCAAGAGGAGCAGUGACAAUAGUAAUAUUUAUUGAACUCCCAGGAACCAGGUAUUGUCAAUUAUGUUUACAGCAAAAGGCUCUGAAACUAAUAUUUGGUAUGUUUUAUCUUAUUUUGUCAUUCUUUAAAAUACAGUAACCCAUUGAGAUGGAUGCCAUUAUUAUGUUUGCAUCCAGGCCAGAAACUGAGUUUUAAAGGAAUCAUUUAAUUGAAGUCUAUAUGUUGGUGAAUAGUGGCUUUGCUUUGGUCAACUACUGGGCAGUAUUAGCUAAACUCUCAUUUGCAAGAAUCACGUGAAAUUGUCUGAAUAAUUUGUUUCUUUUUCAUUUCACCUGGAACAAAGGAGAUUUUGGCAGUUAGUAGAUUUAUUAACCAAUGGAGGAGAUUAGUAUGAAUGGUAUAGGCAGACCUCAGGUAUUUGGGUGGCAGUAGAAGUACUUUGUUCUUGUUGUUUUCUGAUUGUGAGACAUGAGUUUUUUGGAACGUUGAGCAAUGUGCAAGCAAGGUAACUGAGAUGAGUAACUGUGUUGAGAGUAAUAAAGUUUGGGAGAAAAUCUCUCACACUGUGAGUUUUUAGGCUGUAUCAUCUUCUGUUGCUGGAGUCCACAUGCCUGGUAAAGAACUAUAGCAUUGUGCAGUCUGCUCUGGCUCACCAGAGCUUGGUCAGGCAGCCCAGCAACAGAAAUGUUAGUAAAUUCUGUUAAUAACUUUAUUAACAGAUCACAGAUUCAUCCAGGUCUUUGUGUAUCAUCCACAAGUGUCACAUUAAGCACUUAUUUUUUGUUUGUUUGUUUUAGGGGUGGGGUUGCAGACAGGAGGAGGAGGCAGGAAGGACUGAAGGGAAAAAGGGAUGUCAGGACUGUGUGUGCAGGAGCUCUGCUGUGUUCUUCACUGUGCCGUGCAAUGGUCCCUCCACACUGGCAGCUUCCAUAAUCAUGGAUUCAACCAACUUCAGAUCAGAAGUAUUGGGAAAAAAUGGCCUCUGUAGUAGACAUGGGUACAGUUGUUUCUCUUGUCAUUUUCCAGCAGUGGGCUAAGGGAAAAACAAAAACAAAAACAACUCACAACUCUAGGUUUGUGCUCACCCCUUAGUCUGCCCUUCCUGCCCAGACCUCUGCUCUGGUAAUGCCUCCAUGGGGAUCUGGGAGGAACUGCACAGUUCCAGGACAGCUGUGUGUGAAGACCACAGUGGUCUUUAUGGCUAAUGGAAAGAGCCAACUAUGGUAAUUUAUUAGAGUAAUUGUUAUGCAUUUGAGUUGUUUUCCUGGGAUUCUGAUUUCACUGGUAUUGAAUUAAAAUUUUUUUUAAAUUUUUAGGGUUUUUAAAAAUUUUUUAAAAUUUUGUUUGCUCUCCAAAGGCCUGCAAUUGGCUAGGCUAGCACAGGGUCAGAGGCAGGAGUCAAGGAUGCAAUCCAGGUCUCCCACAUGGGUGUCAAGAACCAAUUACUCGUUAUUACCAUUGCCUCCCAGGUUCUGUAUGGGCAGAAAGUGGAAAUCAUGAACUGGAGCCAAGAACUCAACCCAGGUUCUCCAGUCUGGAACUGUGAGUUAAGUGCCCACUCCCAUCCACAGGUAUUUUAAUGGCAUAAGCGUCUCUGUUCUUUGAGUGCUGUGAUGGGAAGACGCAUAUUUCCUGAAGGCCAGCACACUGCCUCUAACAUCAUCCAGUGGACUUUGGAGCAUCGAGUCUCAUCUAAAUAUCCUCUCCUGAGUCUUUUUUUCCAAGAAAUGCCACUGUGAACAAGCCCAACUGUGUGUAAACACCAAAUCCAUUAUGGUUCCCUACUGUUUCUCCUUUAGAAAUUAUUUUCUAGUGCACUCUGAACAUUUUUAUUAAUGCUAAAGAGGCUUUUCUUUUUUUUUUCACUUGUUUCCAAAUAUAAUUAUCUUUAUUUCUGCCAAGUAUAAGAUAUACUACUUGUUAUGAAAGUUCAGAUAAUGGAGAAGUAUAUAAAGUAGAAAUUGAAGUUCCAUGCAGUUUUAUCCUAAAUAUAAUGAUGAUGAUAAUAAAAACCAGAAUAAUAUAUUUAUUAAGUGUCAUUGCCAGUGCAUUAGCACAUUCAUUUCUCACAAUAGUUCUGUGAGACAGCUACUUUAUUUGUCAGUUUAGUACGUGAGAGGACUGAGUGAUUCCUGGUUGUGUGGCCUGCACGAUUCCCUACAGGUAGUAAACAGAGAGGUUGUACCUUAAUUACUGUAUUAAAAUGAAUGCUCUAUGCCUCAAUGAUUCUUUCUUACUAGAUCAAGACUGAUCACUUGGAGCAGUAUUCAGAAAGUGAAAGGUGAACUAUGUGUAGCAUAUGAUUUUAUCUUAAAUUAAACCGUACAGCCAAAAAUUUCUUUUUCAAACAUUUUUACGUAUUUAGCUCUUGUUUGCUGGUUCACUCCCCAAAUACCCACAAGGGCCUGGGUUGGACUGAAGCUGGAACUUAACCUAGUUCUUCCACAUGGGUCUCAGGAGUGCAGUCACUUGAGCCAUCACUGCCACCACCCCUCAGGAUCCGCAUUAGCAGAAAGCUGGAGUCAGGAACCUGAGCUAGGAAUAGUACACAGGUGCUCCAAUAUGGGAUGUGUGUAUCUUAACUGGCAUCCAACUCUAAGAUGCCUACCCCACAUUAAUGUCUUAACUAUUAAUGUAGUACUGAAAUACACCUGUAAUGAUUUUUUUUAAAGCUGUAUUUAUUUAUUUGAAAGGCAAAGUUACAGAGAGGCAGAGGCAGAGAGAGAAGAGAGGUCUUCCAUCCACUGAUUCAUUUGCCAGAUGGCCGCAAAUGCUGGAGUUGAGCUGAUCUGAAGCUGGGAGCCAGGAGAUUCUUCCAGGUCUCCCACGUGGGUGCAGGGGCCCAAGGACUUGGGCUAUCUUUUACUGCUUUCCCAGACACAGCAGAGAGCUGGAUUGGAAGUGGAGUAGCCAGGACUGAAAGCAGUGCCUGUAUGGGAUGUGGGCACUGCAAGCAGCAGCUUUACCCACUACGCCAUUGUGGCAGCCCUAUAAUACGAUUUUCAAUUGUACUAACUUUAUGGGGGUGGGUAAGGAAAUUGUUCAGAGACUUAUCCAAUUAAAAAAAAAAUCCUUCUUAGAUUUUUUUCCAAACUAAUAUAAUUUUCGUAGAAACAAGUCUUGCUUUUUCUUAUAUUUUAUUAGUUUCUGUAUUUUUAAAAGAAUGUAGGUCAUUAUAGCAACAGAGACAAAAUGGUUUUAACCAUUUGGUAAUGAAACUCACUGAUUCUUGGUAAGUAAAAAAUAUACAACUGAUAAGGUCAGAGCACAGUGGGUGAGAGCGAAAGUGCUUGGGGCUCACCAGCUCUUGGACCUACUGUAGGGGUCAACAUGGACUUCUUCCACAAGGAGAUAGACCUGUAGGUGAAUUGGUUGAGUCAGGAUCUGUUAAGAGGACUUCUGCCUUCUGGGUACAGUGGAAUUACCAAAACUACUGAGAGGCACCCGGAAAAUUACUCCCCAAAGGAAGUCUGAUUUUUUCUUUCCACAUUCCAUCUGUGCAAGGAUGUGUGCUUGCCAAUGCCUAUUCACCUGCUUCCUCUAUUCCGCCAGUUUUUGCCGUCUGUGUAUGUAGCUUCAUUCACUUCUGUGGUCUCAGUUUUGACAACUGAGUCCUCAAAACAUCAGCACCCAGUGGUGCAGUGAACUCCCCAGAAUUUUGAAGUUGCUCAUGCAAUACUAGGAAAAUGAAACAGUUAAGCAAAAACUGCUUUCUAGGGGCCAUCUAGCCUAAGAAUUGCUUGUGAGGGAAAGUGAUGUUAUCUUUGCUGGUUUUGAGCAAUCAUGGUGUUUCUCAGUGUGGUCUGUGGACCACCUGCUAUCAGGAACCACUUUGACUACUUGUUAAAGUACAGAUUUCUGGGUCCUAGACCCCUGUGAAGUGGAUCCUGGGUAUCCACAAUGGAGGCAGAGUAAAGCAUGAGGAUUGUUGGUCACCUGUAGAGAGCCCAAAAUUAUUAAGACAAUCUGUAAGGCCCUACGAAGACUGUCCCUGCCCCACUAUUUAGCCAAAUAGACAACAGGUCAUACUUGUUGUUUCUGGAGUCAGUUCUCCUGCCCUCAUUGCUUCUUCUUGGAAUGCACACCCUCACAUUUUCCUUCCAUGUCCUACUGAGAAAAUCCUUACGAUCCUGACUAGUGUCCUCUUCCCUUUGAUCCCUCCUGGGGUGCUGUUCUCUAGAGCAGCGCUGGGCCAUUCCUUCACUGUGACUUCACUGCCACAGAACUCCCUCCCCUCACACUGUACAUGGCUUUUAUGUUGAGGACCCAUCAACAGACUGCCAGUGACUCUUACCUGUGUGUUGCUCUCACUGCACUAGGAAAUCCAUGAGAGUGGAGAGGGAGUUCUGUUCGUCUGAGUUUCCCCAGAGUCUUUGGCAAUGCUUGGCAAACAAUAAUGCCCAACAAAUAUUUGCUGAAUGGCUGAACAAAUAAUCUGGGGGAAACAUGCCUUCCGUUCAGCCCCCCACCGUGCUGAGGCUGCAGGUGUUAUAAGCCUGGUGGAUGCUCUCUUGCUGUGAUGCAUUCCCGCAGUUGCCUUUCAGUCCCUGGCGGGGAAGGUGGGAAAGAGGAGGCUUCUUGCCCUGGCCAUCUUUGCAAAUCUCUUUGUAGCCUUGAAAGAGGGAUCAAAGGCACAGCCCUGAGUGGCCUGCUCAAGCCUUUGUUCCUUUCUCUUUUGCAGCUAGGGACACAAAGAGGAGGAUUUUAUGAAUCUCUAACCACAGACUUUGAUCUAACGGUGUUGAUGUGGAUGGUGUGUUGUUCAUUGUAUGUUGCCACUGACAGUGCGGAAUAAUGCCGUGAGAGAACAUCUGUGUGGCAGCCAGGUGAUGCUGAGGAGAUGUAUAGUCCAUUUCCUUAGGCAUAAUGAUAGUAUGUGGUCAUAAUGUGAUUCUUGGGGUACCAGGGAAAGUGUACUUUGCUACAAUAGGGUAAUUGCAUUACUUUGCCACUUUCGGAUUCAUGAAACAGAAGCCUGAGCUCUCCCAUCAGAUUUGAGUCCUGAUCGCAUUGGAACUCUUUCCCUGAGCUCACCUUUCUCUCAGACGCAGCAUCUCACUGCUCUGCAGGCCACAGGACCCUGAAUCCUUCAUAGAGAGGCUGAGGCCUGACCUGGGUGGCUUCAGGAUUACCUGCAGAGAAAGAAGUUUUAGAGGACAGAGUUUGUCUUAUUUCCCCUACUGGAAUGCUCUGUAACAUGAGCUGUGCCAAACACCUAUGAUUUGAGGCAGUUCACAGUUGAGCAUUUAUUCAUUUUAAUUAUUAUUUGUUUAUUAAGAAAAUAAAACAUCUGAAACCUGUCAUCCCAUAGAUUUGAUGUUCAGAAGGAGGUCAAAGUAGGAAUUCAGAUUUAGAAGUGAGACAGUUGAAAGAAAACUUUAAGCAGAUAGUACUGUUAUGUGAGGGAAUAGCUAACAUAAUGAAGAUAAUACACUAUUUACUAAGUAUAGGAGGUACUAUGAUACAGCAUAGUUCUUGAUACAUAGUAAGUGCUUAGCAGAUAUUUAUUGGAAUGAAUGAAAUAAUAAAAAUAGUAAUGGUAACCAAAAUUCAUUGUAUGCUUGUUUUGUGUGGUUAAUAUUCAAGAUGUUCUGCAACAUUCUACUGGAAUCUGACUUGCAGUAGUGCCAUUUUAUCUUCUAAUAAGAUGAACUUGGGCAGAAAUAACACUUGGGCGGGGUCACACCACUAGUGAUGUGAUCUGCUCUCUGUUGCCAGACCCCCUGGCCCCACUGUCCUUUUAAGCAUACCUAGAUGUUGAAAGUUACAAUGGAGAUUUUUUUAAAAGUUUUAUUUAUUUAUUUGAUAGUAAGAGUUACACAGAGAAAGGAGAGGCAGAGAGAGAGAGAUGUCUUUCAUCCACUGGUUCACACCCCAAUUGGCCACAAUGGCUGGAGCUACACCCCAAAGCCAGGAGCCAGGAGCCAGGAGCUUCUUCUGAGUCUCCCACAUGAGUGCAGCUGUCCAAGGACUUGGGCCAUCUUUACUGCUUUCACAGGCCACAGCAGAGAGCAUGGGUAUGGGUACCUCCACACAGAAGUGGAGCAGACGGGUCUCAAACUGGUGCCCAUGUGGGAUGCUGGCGCUUCACCAGGGCAUUAACCUGCUGUGUCACAGCGCUGGUCCCACAAUGGAGUUUUUAUUCCAGGUCCACCUGGGUGCCCUAGGGUGUUAAAUGUAUUCUGACAUAUGAAGCCUUAGCUCAGUUAGCCUUACUUUGAUGACUAUCUUGCUAAUAAGGUACAUUCAGUAAGUUGUAUUAGAGGUUGCCUAACCUGCAUUUUGUGGAGUCUUACAAAUCAUACAUGUUUUGGGUCCUUCUUUUAUCCACUCAUUCAAAGUCUUCUUUAAUUUCAUCCCCAGUGUCUUGAGAAUAUUAUGUCAUGCAUGAUGAAAAGAUUUCCAGAAACCUUGUAAUAUGCUCACCCAAACAAUACUUGAUCACAAACAAGUCUAAUAGUAGUAACGAUGGAAACUCUGCCCUGGACAGCUCUGGUGCUUUUUCGGUCAAGAUACGAAUGUUGCCGGCGCCAUGGCUCACUAGGCUAAUCCUCCGCCUUGCGGCGCCGGCACACCAGGUUCUAGUCCCGGUUGGGGCGCCGGAUUCUGUCCCGGUUGCCCCUCUUCCAGGCCAGCUCUCUGCUGUGGCCCGGGAAGGCAGUGGAGGAUGGCCCACGUGCUUGGGCCCUGCGCCCGCAGGGAGACCAGGAUAAGUACCUGGUUCCUGCCAUCGGAUCAGCGCGGUGCGCUGGCCGCAGCGCGCCAGCCGUGGCGGCCAUUGGAGGGUGAACCAACGGCAAAGGGAAGACCUUUCUCUCUGUCUCUCUCUCUCUCUCUCACUAUCCACUCUGCCUGUCAAAAAAAAUUUUUUUUUCUCCUUUUGUUCAGGCAGCUAGAUAGUUAUUAGCCUAUGUUUGUAAGAGGGGGCUGAAGAAAAUGGGAAUUUUCAAGGAAAAUGAGAAAAAAUUGUGAAUUGGGAAUUUUUAAAGAAAUUAAUUUUUGCAAAAUGCAACAAGGAAACAAGCCCUGAAAGCAAAGCAGCAGUUAGAUCUAAAGUCACUGCUUUGUGUAGUAAGCUUCUUAGAUGGGUUCAGCCCCCUUCCUGGGGGCAGCUCAGGAAAUGCCCCUGCCCUGCACCAAGGGGGUAGUAGGUCUGAUAAUGCUGUGCUGAUAAGGUCCUGGGAGGAUUUUCGGGAACUCCACAUCCAGAAAUCUCCCACCCACAAUUUCCCAGAAGAGGGAGGAGGGGAGAAGAAACGAGGUACCCAUACCCAUGCCACACAAACUCCAAUCUGAACGCAGAUUGGGCUCUUGGUGCUCAUUGAGAGGGCCUCCUAGUCUCUCAGGUAUGCUCUUCAUUGUUUCUUUCCAUUCAUCGUCCAUGAGACAAAGAACUUGCAGGGCUAGGAACAACCACCUACUCCUGCUGCACUGUCAUGUGCAGCCAGAAUUUUCCUAGGCACUUCUAACAUUCAUAUCUUUUUUUUUUUUUUUUUUUUACAGGCAGAGUGGACAGUGAGAGAGAGAGACAGAGAGAAAGGUCUUCCUUUUGCCGUUGGUUCACCCUCCAAUGGCCGCCACGGCUGGCGCGCUGCGGCCAGCACACCGCGCUGAUCCGAUGGCAGGAACCAGGUACUUAUCCUGGUCUCCCAUGGGGUGCAGGGCCCAAGCACGUGGGCCAUCCUCCACUGUCUUCCCGGGCCACAGCAGAGAGCUGGCCUGGAAGAGGGGCAACUGGGAAAGAAUCCGGCGCCCCAACCGGGACUAGAACCUGGUGUGCCGGCGCCACUAGGUGGAGGAUUAGCCUAUUAAGCCACGGCGCCAGCCAAAAGAAGAAAAUUUUAUUUUAUUUUUAUUUAAAAAAUAUUUAUUUUAAAGACUGAGUUACAGAGAGAGAGAGAGAGGGAGGGAGGGAGGGAGAGGGAGACAGAGAGAUCUUCCAUGUGCUGUUUCACCCCCCCCCCCCAAUGGCUGCAAUGACCAGGGCUGGUCCUGACUGAAGCCAGGAACCUGGAACUCCAUCUGGGUCUCCCACAUGGGUGCAGGAGCCCGGGCACUUGAGCAAUCUUUUGCUGCUUGCCCAGGAGCAUUAGCAGGGAACUAGAUCAGAAGUGGAGCAGCCAGGAGUUCAACUGGUUCUCAACUGGGGAGCUGGCAUUAUAGGUGGCAGCUUAACCUGCUGUGCCACAACACUGGCCCCUGGGAGAGAAUUUUAAUAUGUGAAUAAUAUACUCUUCUAUGUUAAUAAUUUUAUAUAGCAAUAUAUAGAUACUAAACUUGAUAUUUAUGCUUCACUUGUAUUUCCAAGAAGUUAUAGAUUUUUUAUUAAAGAUUUUUUUUAAUCUAUUUGAAAGUCAGAGUUACACAGAGAGGCGGGGGGAGAGAGAGAGAGAGAAGGAGGGAGGGAGGGAGGUCUUGCAUCUUCUGGUUCACUUCCCAAUUAGCUGCAAUGGCUGGAACUGGGCCGAUCCAAAGCCAGGAACCAGGAGCCAGGAGCUUCUUCCAGGUCUCCCACGUGGGUGCAGGGGUCCAAAGACUUGGGCCAUCCUCAACUGCUUUCCCAGUUCAUAGCAGAGAGCUGGAUCGGAAGUGGAGCAGCCAGAACUCGAAUUGGCACCCAUAUAGGAUGCUGGCACUGCAGAUGGUGGGUUUAUCUGCUACACCACAGUGCCGACCCCAGAAUUAAAUAUUUAAGUUGUCCCCAAACCCCUCCUCCUCUUUGCUUGAUAUUGACAGUGUUGUUCUGUGCCAGGAAUGAUGGUUAUUAGCCAUGAGGGUAGGAAUGGGUUGACUAUUGAUUACAUCUCAGAAACUGAUAAGUAAAAUCUCGCAGCAAUCUCAAAAGCCUUUCUAAGAUCUUUGGGGAAUCUCAGGAUAGCAGUAGCUUUCAUUUCUCACAAUUGUAAUCUUUAAAAUUUGACACUGUGUGCUUCUCUAAGAGGUGUCUUUGAAAGGAAAGGUCUCCCAUCCAAGUACUAACCAGGCCCGACCCUGCUUAGCUUCCAAGAUCAGAUGAGAUCGGGCACGUUUGGAGCACAUAAACAAGACUAGUGUCUGCAAAUACUAGCUGACAGAAUAAAAAAGGGAGAGAACGAUCCAACAUGGGAAGCGAGAUACACAGCAGACCCAUAGAGUGGCAGAUGUCCUAAACAGCACUCUGGCCUCAGAAUCAGCCCUUAAGGCAUUAGGAACCGGCUGAAAAGCCCAUGAGAGUAUUUCAGGCAUGGAAAGCCAAAACACUCUGGCAAAACAACAACAACAACAACAACAACAACAAAAGCAAAACAAAAAAACAAAACCUGAAUGAAAGAUCUCCGCGAGUGAGAUCCCAGUGGAAAGAACAGGUCAUCAAAGAAGGAGGUACCUUUCUCUGAAGGGAGAAGAGAACUUCCACUUUGACUACAACCUUGUCUAAAUAUGAUCAGAGUCGGUGAACUCAAAAGGCUUCCGUAGCCUUGGCAACUACAUGACAAGAGCCUAGGGUGAUUACUGAUGCCAUAAACAAGAGUGUCAAUUUGUUAAGUCAACAACAGGAGUCACUGUGCACUUACUCCUCAUGUAGGAUCUCUGUCCUUAAUGUGCUGUACAUUGUGAUUUAAUGCUAUAACUAGUACUCAAACAGGAUUUUUCACUUUGUGUUUCUAUGUGGGUUCAAACUGUUGAAAUCUUUACUUAAUGUAUACUAAACUGAUCUUCUGUAUAUAAAGAGAAUUGAAAAUGAAUCUUGAUGUGAAUGGAAGGGGAGAGGGAGCGGGAAAGGGGAGGGUUGCGGGUAGGAGGGAAGUUGUGUGGGGGGAAGCCAUUGUAAUCCAUAAGCUGUACUUAGGAAAUUUAUAUUCAUUAAAUAAAUGUUAAAAAAAAAAAAAAAGAAAGGAAAGGCCACCACAAAGCACAGCACACACCGGAGUAAGGGGAAAGGUUUAUUGUAGGGUGGGGGAACCUGACAGACUGCUUCCCCAUGCAGAGAGAGAACAGCAGCCUGUACUGGGAAAACAGGUCUUCUACAGCUUUGCAGAGGGAAGGACGUGGGAGCAGCCCAUCCCGUGGAGCUGACGCUUGUGAUUGGGCCAUUUGGUCACCUGACUUCUAGUAAGCCAGGCUGGGCUUAGAAUGAAGCCACAGCAUCUCCAUGGGAGACCUGGGAGGAUAGAUUUCCGAAGCUCCUCAGGUGAUUUUUUUUUUUUUUUUUGACAGGCAGAGUGGACAGUGAUAGAGAGAGAGAGACAGAGAGAAAGGUCUUCCUUUACCGUUGGGUCACCCUCCAAUGGCGGCCGCGGCCGGUGUGCUGUGGCCGGCACACCACGCUGAUCCGAAGCCAGGAGCCAGGUGUUUCUCCUGGUCUCCCAUGGGGUGCAGGGCCCAAGCACUUGGGCCAUCCUCCACUGCCUUCCUGGGCCACAGCAGAGAGCUGGCCUGGAAGAGGAGCAACCGGGACAGAAUCUGGCACCCCGAACGGGACUAGAACCCGGGGUGCCGACACUGCAGGUGGAGGAUUAGUCUAUUGAGCCUUGGCGCCAGCCCUCAGGUGAUUCUUAUGCAGAUUGGAGUUUGGUAAUAACCCUAAUCUCCACACAGUACAUAGAAAUUGAAGCCCGGUGCAGUGGAGUGACUUAUCACUGAUAAACUCAGCCGUGAAUAACAAACCUCCUGCUUGGCUCUUCAGAACUACCUAGGUGAGCUGCAAUUUCUUAAUCCACUUGACAUGCAUCUUUCUGCCUCAGCUGUGUAGUUAUGUAACUUAAUUACUUCUUAGUUUGAUUUGACGGCCUUAUUCUAUUAGAUAAGAUGUGUUAAUUACUGGGACAGCAAUAUGUGUUACAUUAAUAAUUUCAAGAUCAUGAAUAAUAUGCAACACCUCUGUGUCUGAGCCAUUAUUAAUUUGUUUCACCAGAGCUGAAAUGUUUAAAAUUCAGUUUCAAGCGUGUCUUCUCAGAGGAAAAAAGAAUAAUACAUGUAUUGAAAUAUCUUCCCUUUCUUCUGUUCUUCCUUCUGUCCUUGCUAUUGCAAGAGCUGCAUAUUGUGCCUAAUUAGUGAGGUAAAAAUCCAAUUUGAUUUUAUUUUUCAAAAAUGCAGGUAAAUCAGGACAAAUUAUUUGCUGAUAAAGAAGGGAAAAGAAUAGAAGCAAUAUAAAUUUUGUGCAGUUGGUUCAUUUAUAAUGUAUCUCAAGGGAUAGGAAUAAUUCUAUAAGCAGAAAUUUUUAAUGACCCGACUUUUGAGUAGACUUACACACACACACACACACACACACACACACGUAUAUCUGUUUGCUUCCUCUCUGACAAGAUAGUUAAGCUGUGAUAGUUCUAUGUGGGAACCACCUUCAAUGUCUGUGGUAGGACAGACAAGCCAGGAUUGGCCAAUGCGCAUAGUCUGUCCUGGAAAUUGAGAUCAGCUUUAGGAUGCGUGUGAUAUAAACUGGCCCACUGGGAGUAAUCCUAGGACUUUCUAGAAAACAUGGAGAAAUAUAUGACGACAACAAGGGUAAUAUCUUUUUAGCAUGAAUAACACUCAUUUUACUGCUAUGAAAGGAAAGUGCACUAUCCCAGAAAAAACAGCAGGGCUGAGAUGGGGUGUGAGACAAACUCCCAAUGACAAAAUUUAGGAUCCUGAAUCCAGCCAUGCUUAAAAGUUACCUACUGUCUGAAGCACUACGAAGUCAAAAUAUUCUUUCCUUCCUUCCUUACUUCCUUCCGUCCGUCCUUGUAGGUGGACUUCUAUAACUUUUAGUUGUAACAAAAAGACAUUAAAAAUGGAAAGUCUUCCAAACUUAUGGACUUCCAUGGGUGGAAAUGGAUUUACAAUCUCUCGAGUAUCCACUGUGACCAGUAGCUGUUCAAGAGUUACAGGCAGGAUGAUCAUACCAUAUAUCAUCCAAACCAGAGCACUUUCACCCCUUACCCUUCAUUAUGAAGACUUUUUUAUAAAUUUACCUAAACAAAAGCAAAUGGAAUAGUGUAAUAGACUCUUAGGGACCUGUUACCAAACUCCAGCAAACAUUGCUGCAAUGGGUAGUCCUGCCUCAUUCAUAUCCCAUCAACUCCUCCCUCCCUAAGUGUUAUUUUUAAAAUUGGUUUAAAGAUUUACUUCAUUUAUUUGAAAAGCACAGUGACAGAGAGGGAGAGGGAGAAAUACAGACAGAGAUUGUCCAUUCUCUGGUUCGUUCCCCAGAUGGCUGCAACGGCCAUGGCUACGUCAGACCUAAGCUAGGAGCUAAAAUUCCAUUUGGACCUCACUCAUGGGUGGCAGGGGCCCAAGCACUUGGGCCAUCCUCAGUUGCUUUUCUACACACAUUAGCUGGGAGGUAGAUCAGAAGCAGAGCAGCCAGCCUCCAACUCAUGCUCUGAUGUGGGACACAACCUCUUGUGCCGCAGUGCCAGCCUCCUUGCCUGACUCCCCUUCCCUCUGCCACUCAGUGUUAUUUUUUCUGUUUUUUUUUUUUUUAAAUAGAAACUUUAAUAAAUAUGAAUUUCAAAAGUACAACUUUUGGAUUAUAGAGGUUCUUCCCCAUAUACCCACCUUCCCACCGCAAACCAUCUCAUUUCCUACUUCCUCUCCUAUCCCAUCCUAUUCAUUAAGAUUAAUUUUUAAUUAUCUUUAUAUACAGAAGAUCAAUUAUAUACUGAGUAAAGAUUUCAACAGUUUGCACCCAUACAGACAUACAAAGUAUAAAGUACUGUUUGAAGAUUAAUUUUACCAUUAAUUCUCAUAGUACAACAUAUUAAAGACAGAGGUCCUACAUGGGGAGCAAGUGCAUAGUGACUCCUGUUGUUGAUUUAACAAUUGACACUCUUACUUAUGAUGUCAGAAAUCACCCGAGGCUCUUGUCAUGAGCUGCCAAAGCUAUGGAAGCCUCUUGAGUUCACAAACUCUGAGGUUAUUUAGACAAGGCCAUAAUCAAAGUGGAAGUUCUGUCCUCCCUUCAGAGAAAGGUACCUCCUUCUUUGAUGGCCCCUUCUUUCCACCGAGAUCUCACUCACAGAGAUCUUUCAUUUAGGUCAUUUUUUGCCACAGUGUCUUGGCUUUUUAUGCCUGAGAUCACUCAGUGUUAUUUUAAAGUGAAAUUCAGACAUCAUUUCAUUGGUAUCAAUUUUAGAGAAAAAGAAGAGAUUAUUAUAAUAGGAUGGCAAACAAUCUGUCCCAGAGAGACUGAGAUUAAUAGUAUGAAAAUGAUGGAAAAGAAAUGUCUCAUUCCAUACCCUCAAUACUAUUUUUUAAUCAACUGAGGCAGUAGACUAACUGGGUUGCUAAAAAGCUUUGAGCCUUUUUUCUUUUCUUGCAUCCAAUUUUGGUUUUAUGAGGCUACUCCAAAAAUUUCAUGAAAGAAUGGAAUUAAAAGAUGUUUGUUUUGAUGUGAAACAUUUUUGAAAUUCAUGCAUUUUUGUUUGAUAAUACAUAUUUUCCAUGAACUUUUCGAAGAACCUUCACGUGCCUAUUCUACGGAAUACCAUGUUAGCCUGUGUCUUCCAAGAAACUGAUGCCCACACCAGAUAAAGCCUGUGAAAAUUUCGUUAGGGAAAUUCAUCAUGAAAGUAAACUGACAGGGAGACAGGAAAGGUAUGGAGAACACUUAGACCAUUGUGCACAUCUGAUCACGGGAAGGAGAGCAGAAGGAAAGGGGGAAGAAGUGUCCAAGGUUUUUGCAAGUCCUUAAAGAAGUUCUUGAGCUGAAAUCGAGUAUGAGUGGAAUCAUAGGUCUCCUGGGAAUUAGCUGACUUGCGUGUCCUGGGCUGGGAGCUGUCCAUGGGAAGUGUGGCCUUGUCGUACACACAUACAGAUAUAGAGUCACAGUGCAGCAGCUGAGCCUUGGUCAGCUCUGCGCCUUGGUCAGCUCUGCGCCUUGUGAUUGGAGAUCUGUGAGGCAUCUUCACAGACACCGUACUUACCAAGACCUUGCUCUGAAUACUGUCAGCAUAGUGUAGCAUAGUCACUGAAAGUAUGGACUUGGGAAUUAGAGCAUCUCUGUUAAUAUCUUAGCUCUGCUGCUCAGCUGUAGACUGUGCCUUAUACAGGAACCGUGAGUCACAAAGCCUUCCCUCAUGGUUGUAGUGAGGAUUAAAUGAUGCAGACUUAGCAGGUGUCUAGCUCGUAUCAAGUGCCUAAUGGUGGCUGGUGAUGAUGGUGGUGGUGGUGGUCACAGGCAUGAAGACUUUGUGAAUAAGCUGGUUUAUAGUCCAUAUAUCAUAGGUCCAUAUUUUUAUUUUAUUUUAUUUUUUAAUUUCUUUUAAUUUUCCAAAAGAAACCUUUUAUUUAAGGAAUACAAACUUCAUUCAUUCCAUAGUACAACUUUAGGAAUACAGUCAUUCUUCCCACCAUACCCACACUCCCACCCCUUUACCAUCUCCCACCCUCUACCUCCUCCAUCUCCCAUUCCCAGUCCCAUUUUCCACUAAGAUCCAUUUUCAGUUACUUCAUACACAGAAGAAUAGGUCCAUAUUUUUAGAAACUGUGUCUAAACAAUGGAACUGAAACGACUCAUCUGAUAGCUCUACAAAGUUUUGGCUCAGCUUUUCAUGUCUGUAUCAUUUCCUUUUGGGAUCCCAAAACCACAUUUCUCUAUCCUACUCCUGAGCAUUCACUCUCUGCAUUCCCUGUCUGGAUUAUUCUUCACCGCCCUUCCUGUAUCUAGUUUCUUCCUAUUCAUCCUUCCGGUUUCACUUUAAGGAUAAUUCAAUGAGGAAAGACUUCUCUGAUCUGACAGCCUGGAAAAGCUUCUAAAAUGUAGCCCCAAUAAUUGAACUCCUAGUACAGCACUCCUUUUAUAGCUAGGACUUCCAUUAGUGUACAAUUAUACAUUUAUUCAUAUAAAUAUUUAAUCAGGGCUUUCUUUCCCACAUGAGAACAGUGAUCAUGUCUGAUUUUGCUUACCAUUUUAAAUCCAUUGCUUAGCACAGUACUGAUGCAGAAGAGAUGUGAUAAUAUUGGCUGAUUGCAUGAUUAAAGUGCAUGUGUUCCUCAGAGGUACUGAGGUCUUUGUUAAUUAAUUCUGUGCAGCCCAUUCGUUGGAGGGUGACUCAGAAACUAACUUGUCCAUGUAUUACCUUAAAAAAGAGGAGGUGUCUUACUAGUUCUCUGAACAGAGGGCUCCACAUCCUAUUUUAGCAUGACCAGAGAACUGAGUUUAGUAUCAGGACAGUCUUUGCGUCAGCAGCCUUGAGGGAAGAUGACAGGCCAAAGAUGGAAACAUUGUCAUGAAUGGUUGGAAAUUCCAUUUAUUCAUGCAUUUUCUCUACCCAUGGUGAGCUGUUCUCCCAGGGGUUCUCAGAAGUUAAUAUUUGACAAAUAUUUGGGCAGCUUUUUAAAUAUGAGCAUCUACAGGCCUCUCUGCCAAGAGAUUCUGAUUUUGUAGAUACAUGGUAAGGUGCCUGAAUUUGGAUGUUUCCAAAAUGGCCCAAGGGAUUCCGAGGGUCUCAUGCAUUUAGGAGUCAUUGUUCCACCUCCCAUUGAUGAUUCAGGACAACCAAGCAUAAUGUGUCUAGGACUAGAACUUGGUAAAUUCUUGUCUACACUGCUGACUCAUAUUAGGCCCAUAUGAGGAGUAGUUAGCCAUGGCUCUCUAUUUUACUCUUUGCUACUACCAGUGUAAAAAGAGUAGAAGAACUUCAUAUAAAUAACACAUUUCACAUUAUUAAGCAUACUGGGGGUCGGGUGAGAUGGGGUGGAUGAGGUAUGUGUAUAAUAUAGGUUUUAAAAUAAGGAGUAUGGAUGACUUUUAUUUGAUCAUGAAUUAAAAUCUACUAUCUAAAAAAUGAAGGCCUAAUCUCUAUUCAUUAAAAUUUGUAGCACUUGACUGCAUCAGUACUCAAUGAUAUAAAUUGGUAAUAAAGAUUAACAUAGAAAUUUAUUGUACCUAACAUCAAGAAUAACAUCUGUUAUAAUCAAGGCCAGUUUAGACAAUACUGAUGUAUUUUCCUAAUACAUAGUAAGCUUGCUAAAGGCAGAGACAGCAAUACUGUUGUUUACUGGAGUGUCACCAGCACUUGGCACCAUAGCUGGUUCUUAGGAAGUGCUCAGUGAGUAUUUUGGCACAAUGACAUCAUAGUGUUUCACUUUAAAAUUCUGGCUUUGAAGUUGUGGCAGUUGCAGUUCUCUGGAGGUGCACAUGUGCAACAAGAGCUUUGCAGGUUGCAAUGUGAUUUGCAGACCAAAGCUGCUUGAAUGCCAAGACUGGGUGACCAUUUGCCUGUUAAUGUCAUAUUUUAUUAACCCCUCAUUAUCUUCCAUAGUAUAUUAUUAGCAUAUAAACCUUAGUCUUACGUAACACUGCAUAUAUUUGGGAUAGUGUGCCAUUUGCUCAUGAACUGAAGGAAGGUUCUGCAUUUUUGGAGUACUUGGAAGACUUUUGUGGGACUCCACUUUGUGUGUGUGUGUAUAUGUAUAUUUAUAUGUGUAUGUAUAUGUAUAUGUAUAUGUGUGUGUAUGUGAAAGAGAAAGAAGGAGCCCAAGAUCUUCUAUUCACUGGUUCAGUCCUCAAGUAGCCUCAACUGCCGAGGCUGGGCCAGGCCAAAGCCUGGAGCUAAGAACUUGAUGCUGGUCUCCUACAUUGGUGGCAGGGGCCCAAAUAUCUGAGUCAUCUUCUGCUGCUUUUCUCAGGCCAUUAGCAAGGAGUUGGAUCGGAAGUGCAGCAGGCGGGAUUCGAACCGGUGGCCAUAUGGGAUGGCGGUGUUACAGGUGGCAGCUUUACCUGCUACACCACAGUGCCAGCCCAUCAGACUGCACUUUGAAAGCCACCAGCCUAAGCUGUGUCUCAACAGGGCAAACAAAGUCUGACCAUAAAGUUGAUUAUCAUCCCCUAGAAUCACUGGUGAGACUAAGAGACCUUUUAUCCUUUUUUUUCAGGGCCUUCCUCUUGACUUGCUGGUUUCUCUCAUCUUGAUUACUUCUCUAGUUUCUGAUCCACAGUCAUUUAAUUUCUGCUUUAGGUUUUGUGUGACUGCCUAAUCCUUUUCUAAAACAUUAACCUGAAAGCUUUUUAUCUGACUUUCCCUGUCUCCCAGAUGACUGCUGUCCACAGUGCCUGCGCAGGUCUGCACUUUGCUGGAUUCUUUGUUACUAUUCUUUAUUUUCUCCUCAAUGCACCACAUAUAGAGUUUAGAACAAUGAGACUUGUUGUAUAUUUAGUUUUCACAUUGCGCAUUAAGCUUUAACUGAUGCUUAUUUUAUGUAUACCACGGUGCUGCAGUCUAGGCUAAUGCUCUAAUUUGUUUCUCAGUGUUAGUAACAAGUAAGUUCUUUGUUAUUUGCGUUUUUCACUCACUUCCAUAGUCAGUCUCUGUGCAUCAGCUGGAAUUUGGGAAUGGUUGUAGAAAAUUGAUCAUGGGAUACACAGCAUUCUCCGUCUCACCCAGCCCUUCCCAUCUCCUGCACUUGAUGCAGGGCAACUAAAUAGCACCCCCGACGGCAGCCAGCAUUUUCUGAGCAGUCUGAGUCAGUGUGCACGUUUCAUUUCCAGCGACGAAGUAAUCUGACGACUUCGUUUACCAGCAGUGACCACUUAAACAGACUUUUCAAGAACUCAGCCAAAGGCUUUCCUGUUUUUUAAAGAAACUGUCCUUGUGUGCUAUCCACUAACUGUAACUACAGAGUUUCCUAGAGCAAGUAUCUUCUCUCCGAUUAUCUGGAUGAAAAAUGGUGGCUUUUAUGACGCACACGCACACACACAGACAGCACCUGCAGCGCUUCCACCCACUGCUCUGUGGUAGUGUAAGCAGUCAUGUUUUGGCAGAAUUUCCCUGGGUGGACUCCUCUGGCUUCUGUGGCUCUGGGGAGCCUCCCUUUGUUUAGUAGAACAUCUGAUCGUGUCAAAAUGAGGUGCAGAGUUCUAAAGUUCCUCCUCAUUGCCAUCAGGUAAGUCUAAGCCCUGAACAGAAUGCACAGGCCGUGCUUUCUAAGUAACAGCAUCUCUUGUCCCAUCUCCUCUCCCUUCAGCUCCUCCCCUCUCCGUCCUCUGCUCUGUGCUCAACCUGCACUGCCUGACAUGCCGUGUGCUUCCUGAUUUCUGGAACUUUGCAAUCAUUUUGAGCAAUAUAGAAUACUUCUGUAUCUUUUGGGGGCACAGAGCAAUAUUUCAACACAGGCAUACAGCUUAGACUGAUGAAAUCGGGACGUGAGCAUCCUUCCCUACCAACCCUUCCUUCGUGUUUCAGUUCUACCAGCUCCUGGGCCUUUGAGCAAAUUCUUCUCGGACUCAAACCCUCAUUGUGAUUUUUUUCUUCAUUCUCUGUCAUGCUAGCUGUUUAUUACCUUUUCUUCAAGUUUCAGUGUGGGCAUGAUAGCCUUGAGGAAGCAUUUACUGGCAGUGCAAUUCCCUAAACUUCCCCCAUCAACCCCCUCACGCCACAGAGCUGUGACUCCCUCUUACCCAGUCUGUUUCUCUGCUCUCCUUGGCUGUGAAGACCAUGAAUUUAGUGACUGUGCCUUUUUCGUUAUCAACUUUCCAGUGUCUGGAACAAUGCUAGGCACACAGUAGGCAUUGAGCAGGCAUGUUUAAUUAAGAAAAGAUUUAGGGGCCCGCGCUGUAGCACAGUGGGUUAACACCCUAGCCUGAAGCACUGGCAUCCCAUAUUGUUGCUCCUCUGCAAGGAGACAGUAGUUGUCCCAGAAAGUGCAGUUGAGUCCCCUUUUAUAGUCCUCUUCCACCAAUCCGUGCUCCGCUGCCUGCGUGCUGAGCACGCCACUUUCUUCCAAUCAGAGGUUGGGUCAGCUCCUGCAACUCAUUAGUCAAAUUGAUGAAGCAGCCGAAGCAGCUGUGUAGAACUUGUUUACUCCCUCUCAGCGCCAUGUUGUGGGAGCCGGGCCCUGCUUCCCACACAUAUGGGCACUGGUUCAAGUCCCGGCUGCUCCACUUCUGAUCCAGCUCUCUGCUACGGCCAGGGAAAGCAGUGGAAGAUAGCCUAAGUCCUUGGGCCCCUGCACCCAUGUGGGAGACUCGGAAGAAGCUCCUGGCUCCUGGCUUUGGAUUGGUGCAGUUGCGGCCAUCUGGGGAGUGAACCAUCAGAUAGAAGACCUCUCUCUCUCUCUCUCUCUCUCUCUCUGUAUAACUCUGACUUUCAAAUUAAUAAAUCUUUUUUUUUUUAAAAAAGAUUUAAUGUAGAGGUACUACAAAAUAUACACACAUUUGUGUGCAUUUCCCUUCAUUUUUAUAAACAACUAUCAGGAAUGGAUUAAUAAUUUGUCAUCAAAGAAAAUUCAAUUAAAACUGUUUUAAUGAUAUAGUAAAAUGUCUUGUUCUGCCCUAGAACUGAGGUAAUCUGUGAAAGCAAUUACCUUGUAUAAAAUGUUUUGCAGUUUUUAAAGGGAGACAUCAAAAUUGUACAAACCUGUGACUGUUUUCUCCAUCAGUUACUAUGGGAUGGUUUCUCUCAAGAAAACCUAAGAUGGAUGACUAAGUCUAUGGCAAUAAAAUACAUGGAGCAAAUUGACUUGGAGAGAAUAGCAGUAAAUACAGAACAUCAGUGUGGUCAGAAAUGAUGGAUGUCAAAGACUAGCAGAAGAAAAACAGAAAAUAAUUAUCUGAUAGAGGAACAAACACAUAUAUCUAUAGUAUAAGUUUUUAAAACAUUUAUAGCCCCUUCAAUGAAGAAUAAUAGUUUGUGUAAAGGAAAUACUUUUCCAUCCAGCUUAUCAAACUCUGUAUGAGUGACUGAAAUCACUGAGGUUGGAAUGGAAACACUCGUGUCACAGAUGAAACCGAACCUUAUCCCUAAUUGUGCUUCCUCAUUUCCUCGAUUCCUCCCACUGUUCUCUUCCUGAUUGAAGACGACUGCAAGGAGACUUAUUGGGGUUGGGGUGAGGAGGUGACCUUAGGAGUCAGAUUUUCCCCUGGUUUGCAAAUCAGUUUGGUUUCAUUCAACAAAAGGAAAAAAAUGCAUUCUUUUCAGAUACCUCCAAGGAAAUUCUUUGUAUUUGUGAGAAUAAAUUAUUCCAAGUAAGAAUUUCAAAAAGCAAGGCUUAUCAAAAUAUUUUGAAAAAUCUUUAACUUUAAUUAUAACAGUCUAUAAAAUAGAUACAUUGUGAUUAUAAUUAAAAGCUUUUCUGUCAUGAAAGUAUGCUGUUAUGGUCAACCUUUGACACCUUUGAAACAUUUAGGGUGUGUUUUAGAUUCACCUUCACUUAAGAGUACUGGAAAAAUUUUGAGGAAAAAAUUUUGAGGGAAAUUGAACAUCCAUUAGAGUGAGAGAAUUAUAAGUAUUUAGAGCAGAAAGCUGGAGUGACAGUUUCAGCAGUGGUGCAGAUUUUGCCUGGGUACCUGCGUGCAGUGUUUUCUCAGACAGAAGUACAGAGUGUUUUUGAAAACUGCUUAACAGGCCUGGUAUAGGGAGGUAAGAUGCUGUCUGCAGCUCUGGCACCCCCUUUUGGCACCAGUUUGAGUCCUGGCUGCUCCACUUCUGAUCCAGCUCCCUGCUAAUGUGCCUGGGAAUGCAGCAGGGGAGGAUUGCCCAAGUGCUUUGGUCCCUGCACCUAAAAGGGGAACAGAAAGAAGCUCCUGGCUUCUGCUUGCCCCCACCUAAGUUCAUUCAUUGUGGCCAUUUUGGGAGUGAAGCAGCAGAUAGAAGAGCAUUUCUCUCUCUCUUUCUCUCUCUCUCUCUCUCUCUCUCUUCCUGUAACUUUGCCUUUCAAAUCAAUCACUUUUUUUUUCUAAAGCUGCAUAACUUUGGUGAUCUGCAGCUAAGAGCAUCUUUCUAUUCUUGUGAGUUAUGGAAUUUGGAAGUUAUUUAUUUUGGAUUGAGCCCUUCUUCUUGCUAUGAGUGACAUACAUCUAAUGAAUGUGGCUCUCUGAGGAUGUAUCUUUGUAGAAUACUUUUGUGUUUUUCUUCCCUCCUUUAACUGUUAGGUUUUUUGGAUAGCAUUCAUGAUCUUUCCUUUCUCUUUCCCAUUAGAAUUCAUGAACCCUUUGUAGUGUUUCCAUGGCAGCCACUAUAGAACUGUGUAUACUUUCUACAUGGUAUUUUUUAAUAAUUAAUGUUAUUUGAUGUUUUAUAUACAAGUCUCAGGCACUCUUCCCAUAGAUAAUCAUUGUUAAUGAUUUCUUAUGUUUCCACAAAACAGAAAUUUUUCAUAUUGCUCAUGCACAUGUAGUUAAAUAAAAGGACACAGAAAAGAUCAUAUUUGGGGGAAUCUUUUUCAUCUUGUUUUUUAUUAACUACAUGUUGGAUAUCUUUCCAUUAAACAUAUAGAUCUGCUUUAUUUUCAGAGAUAGUGUUCUAAAACAAAGUUUUACAAAACUAUAUUUAAAGCAGUACUGGUACACACAGACAUUUCUUUUCUCCUCAUCCUGCACUUCCUCCUCCUCCUCUUCCUCUUUUUUUUUUUUUUUUUUUUUAAAUUUUAGCUCCCACAUAUAAGGAAGUACAGUACGUGGGGUAUUUGUCUUUCUGGGUCUGGCUUAUUUCCCUCAACAUUACAAAACCAAUGGCUGAGAAUGUUGUAUUACUGUAGUUUUUUUUUUUUUUUUUUGACAGGCAGAAUGGACAGUGAGAGAGAGAGAGAGACAGAGACAGAGAGAGUAUUAUUAUAGUUUUAAUGAUCUGUGAUUAGUUUAAAAUAUAUUGCAUAUGGAUGAAAUGGUCAUUUUCCCAUUCAAUUACUAUUUAUAGAUAUUAUCUAUAUUCACACUAAACUAGGGUCUGUUUGCUUUUUACUUGUUAAGUUUUUUAUUUGGUGACGUGUUAAUCAUUUUUACUGUAAUAUAAAUUUCAAGUAUGUUAUCUCAAAAACUAAAAAAAGAAGAAAGGAGGGUGGACUGAGAGAGAGGGAGGGAAGGAGGAAGAGAAAAUUAUGUUCUUAGAAUUAUUUCUACAAAGCACAGUGAAUUUGUUAAAAACUAAAGAUUAAAAUUUAAAAAUUUUUAAAAAAUGAAAUCAAAUUGCAGAAAAAAGAAAUAGUAUUUUCAUUGUAUGGAUGCAUCAUAAUUGAUAAUUAGCCAGGCUUCUAAUUAUGAGCAUUUUGAUCAUUAGCUACUUUCUGUUUUUUCAAACAGUAUAAUGAAGACUCCCUGGUGAACUUCUGCAUGCAUGCAUAAGCUGCAUCCCAAAGAGUAGGAUUUUUAGGGUCUGAGGUCAUUGGUUUAUUUAAUGUCAGUAGACUAACUACAAAAAAGUUUCAUCAACAGCAUCACACUGUAUAGAAAAAUUGGUUUGCUUUUUCUCUCUCCCUACCUAGAAAGUGAGAAAAAUUUAUUGUAAAACUGUGCAUUUUAUGUCCCGAUCCCUGCUGCAACCUAGCAGUGUGCUCAAUAAAUAUUUUCAGAAGGGAGAAAUGAAGAAUGAAAAGUUCCGCUUACAUUUUAGCCCGUGUUAACACCAUCAGAGUUAUGUCGGAGGCAAUAUUAAAGUCACACGUUAAUACGCCACUCUGACAGAUCUGAUAAUUCAUGGAAAGGUGCGUAUGUGGUUAUGAAUUCAUGAGGCAAUUACACGGACUCUCCUCGUUAAUCUUGUUCAGAGGCCCUGGGACAGGAGGAGGGAUAUUUCAAGAAUCAAUCUACCUUUGCUCUUUUCAGCGGAGUCCUUCCACUAGGGUCAGCAGAUGUUCUGCCUGGUGAUCUGAGUGUGCAGGAGAUGUCAGGAAGGAAGAGGUAAAUAAUCUACCCUUUGACCCAAACAGGAAGUGUGUAUCCCUGCCAGGUCAAAUGCUGAAACACUGAUUUCAGGCUGUCUGUUUCAUGUGGGUCACAUCAUCCAUGUGAGAAGUGAUUAAGGCUCCUAAGGACCUAAUGGAGUGUCCCUUCACUCCCCUGCCUGCCUCUUGUGACCUUCCAUCAUCAGGCUCCCAACGUGUGUCCUGCUACUGCCAGCUAGUCUCUUACUCCUGACAGCUGGAGACCUAUUUCAGCCUGCUUUCACCAGCCUGCUUUUGGAAUUAUUUUAUCCUGCUCCAUUGUUACAAGGGUUCUCAUCUGCUUGAGUCUUGUGGUUGAAACAGACUUUGCCAUAGCUUUUUUUUUUUUUUUUUAAGCCAGCAUCUGAUUUAUUAUGACACAACUCAUUGAUGCCAAUCAUUCUUUCAGAUUGGUGCCAUGGUGAUUUUUAAUCUAUAUCUUAUUUUUUUUGUGAAUGAACUAUAAAUAUGCUGCCCUUUUGUAUUCCAGCCUAGAUACUCAGAUCAGUUUUUUUUUUUUUUUAAAGACCUCCAUUACUUUCCAAGUCACAUUUAUUUGAAAUAUUGGCUGCAUCUCACAAUAUUCACUUCCCUGGAGGGAAACAAAGUGAAUCUCAGAGGCAUUUACUUUAUUCCAACAGGCUUCACUGGUCUGAUGUGUAUUUGGCUGAUCAGCCAUGACUGGCUCAGUACAAGUAUAAUGAAUGCCUUAGAUUACCCAGUGACUUUGAACUUUAAUUUUUAUUAGUGUGGUUCACUCAAAGAGUACCUCAGUGCUACCAUAAUCUCUAGGAUGCUUUGUCUCUGCAGACUGAUGGUAUUUAAGAACUCCAGGUUGAAAAAGCAUGAAGAUGAGAUGAUUCUCCUGAGAGGUUUGUCUCUUCAGCUUCAGAAAUGACCAGAAAACCCAUCAUUGCCUCAAUUCACAUCCAGCAAGUCCACAGAAGUAGGCUGAGCUUCUGGAGUGCAAAAUAAACUAUUUGUAAGUUAUCCUGAUUAUUGGAAUAAUAUAGACUAUCUGUAUGGAAAUUAAAUCACUUAAAGUCACCAAAGGAUUUAUUUACUGGGAUUAUAUGGAGAAAAUCUGACUGCAGUAUGGUUAACCAUCUAUCCCUUCAUCGAUUCCUUUAAAACUAGUGAGUGUUUUCUAUGUACCAGGCAUUCUACUGCAGUAGAUGAAUGAUACAGCCCCUGCUAUUAAGAACAAGAAGAAAGAUGAGAUAAUAUUUACUGAUGUUUGAUGUAUCAGGCAAUGUUCUGACAGUUGGAGAUAUUAUAACACACUCCCCAUUGCCCUUUGUGAUAUAGGUUCUCUUACUUGCCCUGUUUUCUGAAUAAGGUAGUUGAUGCUCACAUUGAAGGUAAGCUGAUAACUGGCAGACCUGAAUUCCACUCACAGUCUGGUGUGAUCCCAAAGCUCAUAUUUUUUAACCUCUCUAACUCUUCCUUCCUUUGCCAAGUCAGACCUUGGCUCAUGGUCUGAGGUAGGCAGUCACAGAAACAGGUAACUUAGCAAUAAACAGCAUUAAAAUGAGUCAGUGAAGUGUUGUAGAGACACAAAGUGGCAGAAUUAGAGAGGACUUGACUUAGGCUAGAGAUGGAACUGAAAUUGAACUUUAAUAUAUCCACAGUUUAUUUUUUCCCUAGGCAAAGUAACAAAGUCAUUCUAGAAAGAAAGGGAAAUAUGGGUAACAGUAUGAAGUCACAUCUACAGGAUCCUACUUUGGGCUUCAUGGACAGUACUCACUCAUUGGACACCUGGAGUUUACUGAGCCUCACAGUGUUCAUGACAAAGUGUCAGUAGCUUGGAGCACUGACUAUAGAACACACAUGAGCCUACCUUUACGUUAAGCUCAAAAGUGUUCCUCAAACUUUGACAACAAUCAGAUCUCAGAGUGCAGCACCACCAGUGAACUAGUUGUUUUAGUAACACACAGGAGUAUACUGAGUUCAUGAAUUUGAAUGCAUUGGUCUUAGUUUUAUCAGCUUUGCACAGCAUGGUGAUUGCUACUUAAAUAUGUAAAAAUAGGAAGUCCUCAUCUAAUUCACACAGGAGAUAGCUUAGGUUGAGAAGCAGGGAGUAUAUAAUUACUCAGGAGCAGUAGGAAUGAAAGCUGUUAGCUGUCAACAAUGUGUUAAUCUAGAUGAGAAGUAGAGUUACAGGUAAGGGAUGGGGAGCCUUUACAUUUCUCUACAGACUUGAAGACUUUGAGGUCUCUUAAUUGAAGGUAGGGUGUUACUGUCACUCAUCAAUAUUGGAAUCAUAUCAUUAAGAAUCUGAGAAAAUCCUAACAAUGUCCUUGGAGUAUUCUCUAUUCUUAAGGAGCCCUAGGAAUGUCCUAGAAUGUGCAGGAAAAAGAAGAAGAAAGCAUUGGAUGUAAUUAUCCCAAAAGUGCUGUGGUACAGUUAAGUGCAAAUCUUAUUUCCAAACUGGGAUUUACUUGACCAGUAAGUUCUGCUCAAGAAGCAAGCAGGAAAGCAAGGAGUACCUGGAUUCUGAUUCCAAUUCUGCCUUCCUGUUAAAGAGAAUCCUGGGAGGCAGGUGAUAGCUCAUGUAUUUGGGUCCCUGUCACACAUGAUGGGACUCAUAUUGAGUUCCAAGUUCUUGUCUUUAGCCUGGUCCAGCCCCAGCUUUUGCAGGUGUCUGGGGAGUGAACCAGAAGUUCAGAGAGCUCUCUCGCUCGCUCGCUUGCUCCCUCUCUCUCUCUCUCUUUUUUCUCUUUUUCUCUCUGUCUCCCUGUUUCCCUGCCUUUGAAAUGAAUAAAGUAAGUUAAACAGUUUUUAAAAAGAACAAUUCCUGUGCUAUAGACAUCUAUUGUGUCUCUCUGACCACUAAAAUUAUAAGAUGAUGGCAGGAAUUCUUAGAGGAAGCUCAUGAAUAUUAAAAAACUUGGACCUUUAAGUGAAAGAAAGGAGAUUAGAUGCACAGAAUUUCUUUUUCUUUCUUUUUUAAAGAUUUAUUUAUUUAUUUGAAAGUCAGAGUUACACAGAGGUGAAGCAGAGAGAGAGAGAGAGAGAGGUCUUCCAUCAGAUGGUUUACUCCCCAGAUGGCCACAACGACUGGAGCUGCUCCGAUCCAAAGCCAGGAACCAAGAGCUUCUUCUGGGUCUCCCACGUGGGUGCAGGGGCCCAAGGACUCGGGCCGUCUUCUACUGCUUUCCCAGGCCAUAGCAGAGAGAUGGAUCGAAAGAGGAGCAGCCAGGACUAGAACCGGUGCCCAUAUAGGAUGCCAGCUGAGCCACAGUGCCAGCCCCAUGCACAGAAUUUCUUCCCCCUCUCCUACUUCUCUGUUUAACACCCCAAAUAUGACAGAAGAGGAAUAAGAUGUCAUAAAACUACAAGGACAAGGAGAAUGAGCCAGAAAAAUGACACCAGAUGAAAAAUAUCAACAAUAUUUUAAAAACUAGAAAGUACACAUACAAGGACUAACUGAGGUAUGAGAAUGCCUAAGCUGGGUGGAGGUGAAAGGCAACACAUUGAAGCUGAGCCUGUGACCAGCCCACAGGGUGAGCAGGUUGCUAGGUGUUUCGGAAGGGCCUGGGACUAGAAACAGAGGCAUAUUCUGAAAGCCCGCAUAAGGAGCAAUUAGGCUAUGCAGGAAAUCACCUGCUAUGUGCACCCAAGUAACUUACCUGGCAGCAUCAGGAGGAUUUUUAUACCAGAUAAUUGAAACAUGGAGUUUUGGAUUCAUGAACAACAAGCUGAACAUAGGGCAAUGUGGAUAUAAUAUGUUGAAAAUAGGAAUGUUAAGUUAAAACCUACACAUUCACUCACAAACCCUCUACUUCUGUCCUCUGCCUGUAUCCCAGAACUUGAAAGAACUUAACAAGAAAUUAGAGGAGUAAUCUUCAGAAAAACUAUUUUGUCCAAUGAGGGUUAGAGGACCCUAAAUACUAACACUUGGCAUUCCUUCAAAAACACCAGGUCUCCAUUUGAUGAUGCAACUGUGGAGCCCAUCAGGAAAGCAUGUUAUAAUGCUAUUUGCCUGUUUCUUCCUAAACAACAAAAAUUUAAAAAUUGCAUUAUGUAUUGCAUGAAGUCAUUAAUAUAAGAACACUUUAGUAAUCUAUUCUGAAACAUUAGAAUCACUGGGAAAUUGUGCAGAAGUAUCUUCCUCUUAAGAGUUCUCAAAGACUAUUGAAACAUAAUAUACUUAUUUGCUACAUUUAUAUGGCUGUUCUUUUGUUUUUGUUAUUUGGUCCCAGUGUAUCAGUUAUGAAUAGCCAUACCAAUGUUUUGUAAGAAAUGAACCCAAAUCUCCAUGAGUUGAAAUAAUAGGUCUCUUUUUAGUUUAAGAGUACAGGAUGGCUGUGUGGUUGUUCUGGGUUGACUCACCCACUCUGUUCAUUAGUCUAUGGUCAGCUGUAGGUACACCUGGUAGCUCUACUGAUCUUGCCUGUGCUAUCUCUAUUGAGUCUGUGUGCUUGGGGAGUCAGCAAGGUGUUGGCUGAUCUGAGACUGUUUAGCCUGCCUUAGUUGUGAACAAUUCAGCUGUGCCUCAUGUAUCUCAGUCUCAAGCAGUGUAAUAUGGGGGUGUUCAUAGCAAUGGCAAUAAGAGUGGAAGCAAGCUUUAGGGCUUAAUUGACUUUUACCUUAUGUUUGCUAAUGUCCCAGGGGCCAAAGCAGGGUGCCUUGCUGAAUCUAGAAUGAUCAUAGGUGAAGAUUUGGGACCAUCAAUGCUAUUAUUCCCGUAAGUUCACCUUAUUCUAAACUCCAUUGUGUCUAGACCCACCCCACAAUUUAGGGGGUGUAGAUAUUUUGGAUUUUCCUUCCCUAACAGUUCACACUUGACUUAAUGGACUCCAAGCUGUAUACUUCUUCAUCAGUUGACUUAAGGGAAACCAGAAUUUAUUUACCUUAGGGAAUCACUGACACAGAAGAAAUCCCUUAGAUGUUUUAGAUCUUAAAGGGAAUCAGUUGUACAAGAGACUGCCUGUUCUUUCAAGCACGAUUAUAAAGGGUUUCAUCAACUUGGGGCUGAAUUUAUAAAUCUCAUUCAGAGCUGAAGAGAUAGGUUCACUCUGCAGCUUCUUCUGAUCCAUUCAAAGUGCCGACUCUUGGAUCACGUACAGGACGAUGUUCUGGUGGAGCAGAAACCAAGAUGACUUGGUUUCAAGGCCCAAAGUGGUGACCUUGAUAAAUCCCCUGACUUCUGCUUCCCUUUCUGCAAAAGCUGUGAUGAUCCUUUUUUAAGAAAACCUGUCUCAUAGAUUUAAUGAUUGAAUGCACAUGUGAGUGAUUAUAUUGAUCUAAAUGUAUAAAAGUCUAGACCAGUGAAAACAUUUUUACAGUAUCAUUACGGCAAAAGUUGCUCUCGUGACAGCAUUAGCAAUAAGAACAAUAGAUUUUAUUUGCUGAGUGUGUAUUCUGUCCCUAGCACUAUGUUAAACACUUGAAUUCCAUAAUUUUAUUUAAUCUUCUUGGCAGUGCUGUGGCAGUUAAUAUUUUCUUUUUUUUUUUUUAUAGAAAAUCUGAGAUUUAGAAAGGUCAACUGACUUACCUAAUUUCAUAUGGUAAUAAGAGGAAUAUAAUGCAAUGAAGUUGGUGGCUAAAUUGAAUUCCUAGAGUCUUUCUUAAUAUUCCUCCUUGUGCUGUAUGCAGUGUCAACUGUAGCCAUCAGCACUUCUCAGAGUAUUCACCCCAUGUUUCAUUCUCAUAACACAUUGCAUUAAGUAGAAGGCAGAUUACUAUUACUGGUCAUUGUUAAGUACUUGCUGUGUACAACAUACUGAGGAAAGUGAUGUUAAGAAAAAGACAGCGGGGGCUGGCACUGUGGCAUAGCAGGUAAGUCUGCCACCUACCAGUGCAGCAUUCCAUAUGGGUGCCGGUUCAAGUCCUAGUUGCUCCACUGCCAAUCCAGCUCUCUGCUGUGGCCUGGGAAAGCAGUGGAGAAUGUCCCAAGUCCUUGGGCCCUGUACCCACAUGGGAGACCCGGAAAAGGCUACUGGCUUCUGAUAGACACAGUUCUGACCAUUGCAACCAUUUGGGGAGUGAUCCAGUGGAUGGAAGACCUUUCUCUCUGCCUCUGCCACUCUGUAACUCGGCUUUUCAAAUAAAUAAAUAAAUCUUAAAAAAAAGACAGUGAAAUAAGACUUCAUUUUUGGGCCAAAUCCAAAGCAAGUAAAUAAUUUAUAGCAGGAAUGGGUAAAGGCAGGGUACAGGUGGGGUUGAGAGGGGCACGCAGUACUUCAUGUGUCAAAAUGACCUUUUUUUGUUCAACAAUCAUUGUAAGGCUGCUUUGAGGAAGGUGAAGCAGGGAGAGAAAUGAGUAAGACAACCUUUGCCCUAAAGGAGUUCAGGCUAUGAUAAGACCCCCUCCCUCGCCCUGCCCCAAGUGAUGUAGCAUGGCAAAGGGUGCUAAUAAAACUGACUUUGGUUUGAAGGCAGAGGUGUGGAGCAGAGACCAAGUCCAAGGAAUGUUCUUUGGAAGAGGUGACAAUUGAGUUGAGUCAUGAGGAAUGAAGAGGGGCUCCUUAGAAAACAGGACAAUGAAUAAACAGAAAUGCUAGGAAAGGCUAUUUUAGGCUGUUGGAUUUGUGCAAGGUAGUGAGAGAUGAGCAGGCCAUGGCAAGUGCAGGACAGAGUAGAGGGUAAAGGCAUGCUGAGAAAAGGAUAUCAAGAGGCAAGCAGGAGCAAGAUCAUGAAGGGCCUUGCCAAGAAGAUGGAGAUGUAGCUGAGGAAAUGGGAGCUGUCAAUUUUAAGAACCUAAAAAUCUAUCAUCAAACAAACAAAAAAAAUGGUGAAUGCUACAGGCUCCUUGUUGGGUAGCAUUUGUACCAUUUUUUUUCAUCGAGUAAGAGAAGUACAGAGAGGUGAUGCCACAUAUCCAGUGUUAUCUGUCUACUGAAAGAACUUUCCAGUGAGACUGCAUAGCCUCCACGAAAUGACGGAAUCCAGGUAGAUAGGAUGUCUUGUGUGCUGGCCCUUGCAAAGGCAGGUUUGCCAUAGAAUCUACUUCUGAGCCUUUUUAAAAAGAGAGAGAGAGAAAGUCUUCCAUCUGCUGGUUCACUCCCCAGAUAACUGCAAUAGCCAGAGCUAAGCUGAUCCAAAGCCAGGAGCUUCUUCCAGGUCUCCCACAUGGUGCCAGAGCCCAAGGGCUUGAGCCAUCUUAAUGCUGCUUUCCCAGGCCAUAGCAGAGAGCUGUAUUAAAAGUAGAGUAGCUGGGACUCGAACUGGAGCCCAUAUAGAAUGCCAACACUGCAGGCAGGGACUUUAAUCCACUGAGACACAGCGCCCACCACUUCUGAGCAGUUUUGAUUCUUCUUCCCUGUUGCCAAUGCUGGAGGAAGUGGGGCACAUGGGAGCAAACACAAGGCACAGCUGUUGACAUCGCUCUCUGGUGCCUCAAACAGCUGUUUGGGCAGUAUGCAAAGCAUGAAGUUAUGUGCAAGCCCUCACUCCAGUCCAUAGUUUUGUACAAAGUCUGCUAGUCCUGGACUGGAACUUGUUCUGCAAGAUUGAGGUACCUUGGAAGCCAAGAAGGCAUCUGCAUUCACACGCUGUGAAUUAGUAAGCCAGCUGCCCCUGUGAGUUCUCUCGAAUGUGGUCUCUUGCUUCUAGCAGCCUAAAAGUACUGCAGAAACCUUUUGGCCUGUGGUCUCAAGCCUGAUGAAUGGUCUGAGGCCAUCACUGCUGUGGUUUGGUUGUAUCCAGGGCUUGGUUUUUUAAGAUUCUGGAUGUUCCUUACCUUUUUCCAAUUAAGGAAUUUGCCAGAUUUCACUGGUGGAAACUUGGUACGCCAGUUUCUAUGAUUCUUCUAGAUGAAAAAGAGACUGUACCAUCAGACUUCCACGAGAGAAAGUGCUUGUCUGAAUGUGGUGAAUCCGCGUUCACACAUAAGCUUCCUCCUUCCCUUCAGAGCCUGCCCUGCUUACUCUGAUACACACAUCCUGCCCACCUGCAUCCCCUCCCCCACAUAGAUGUCCCUCUCAGGCUCACAGAACUACAUGGGAAGCCAAUGAGAGCUGAGAAAUGCAAAAUGAGUUUCCAGAGAGGAGAGAAGGCUGUGUGGAUGGGUGUGAGUCUUGAGAGUGAUGAACAAUAGUAAUAAUUGUAUGUGUAAUUGCAUAUUUUACUUUAUUCAUAUAACACAUGUAAACAUGUCCCAACGUUCCUUCAUUGUCUUAGUAAGUAUUACAUGCUAUUGCAUUGGACUGAUGGAUCACAUUCAGUCUACUAAUGGUCAAAAGUUGGAACAUUGUCAGAUAUUUAUGGGUUUAGCUACAGCUGUGAUGGACAUUUUCUUUACAUUAUUUUCUACAGAAUGAUUCCUCCAGGAUAACUGUUCUAGGGUGGCAUUAUUGAAGAAAAAGAUAGGAAACAUGUUAUAGCUCCUAAUAAUUAUUAUUUUUAUGUUGCUUCCUAAACUAGGCAGUACAAACUUUUUAUGUCACCAGAAGUGUGAACAUGCAAAUCUUACCAGAAUUGUCCCAAUAGUGUGAUAUGAUUUUCAGGUUAUUUUGUAAAUUUGUUCUUCUAAUCUCUCAGAUGUAUAAUGUUAUAACAAAGUUGUCUUAAUUUUAAAUUCCAUAAUUAGAGGGAACAUGUAUUUAUUAUUUGCAUUUUCUCUUAGGUACACUGUUUGCAUCCUUUAUAUUACUUGGUGUCUGUGGGUUUCUUACACUAGACAUUUGUGGGAACAAUCAUUUGUUUCUUGAAAAGUUUUCCCCUCAGCUCUUAGCAGGAGGUAAUGUCACUCCUCAAUGCCAGCUUUUUAGAGUAAGCAGCCCUCCCCUCAUCUUUGUGUAUGAAGUCAAGGUAGACUAGUAAGAACAAGGACUCUACAGCCUGGCUGCCUGGAAUUGCAUUUUGGUUCUAGCAGUUGCCACGUGGCUUUGGGUGAAAUGGGAACAAUAAUAUUAUCUAUUUUAUAAAAUUUUUGUGAAUAUUGAAAGAAUUAAUAAUUAUAAAAUGCUGAGAAGUAUGCCUAGCAAAAAGCAAGAACUUUAUAAACAAGGUUAUUAUCAUAUUAAGACUAUGAGUAUCAAAGAAAAAUAAGGUGGGUUUUUGAUGGAUAGAGAGAAGGUGGUAAGCUUAGACAGUCUUCCCAAUGUUUUUAGGUCCCAGUCCUGCUGCUUAUGGUUUUUCUUGGUGUUUCAAUCAAUAUUGAUAAAAAUUGAUAGGCUCAGUUAUUAUACCCAGGGGAAAAAAGUUCUAGAAAGAAACCAGUCAUCCUGGAACAUUAAGUCAGGGGAUAAAAAGUAAAUAUGAAUAUUCAAUAAUAGCAUGGCAUGGUGGAUUGAGUUUGAACUUUGGAGAUGAAUUGACUUGGGUUCAAAUUCUGUUUGCAUCAUGAACUUGCUGUGGUUCCUUAAGCAUGUUGCUUGACCUUUCUGAGCCUCAUCCAAGCCUAAUAGGAUUGCUUAGAGAAUUAUGUAAGUUGAAAUACCUAUGUAGUAGACAUGGGACUUAAUAGACAUUCAAUAAGUUAAAAUAAUUAGCAUUGAAAAACAGCUACUUUGGAGUUAGUGUGAUUUUUGUUACUGUCUGAGGAAACAAUAAAUAACUUCAUGGGUUCAGCUAACAAGUGAGCUUGAUCCCAUAGGACAGAUUUAGAGUUAGGAGGCCUUCACUUGCAGGAUGCAGGCAUGUGGAGAACAUGGAAUGAAGACCUGCUUCAUGGGAUGUGGGUGGUGGUAGGGGAACCUUGGAAAAUGAGCUGAGAAGGCCAAGUUGCAGGCCUGUAUUGUGGAGCAGUGGGCUAAGCUUCUAUUGUGAUGCCGGCAUCCCACAUCAGGGUGCUGGUUCGAGUCAUUCUGGCUGCUCCACUUCUGAUCCAGUUUCCUGCUAAUGGGCCAGGGAAGACAGCAGAGGAUGGCUGAAGUACUUGUGCCCCUGCCGGCCAUGUGGGAGACCUGGAUGGAGUUCCUGGCUCCUGGCUGCAACCUAGCCCAGACAUGGCUGUUGUGGCCAUUUGGUCAAGUAAGUCUGUGAAUGGAAGACAUCUCUCUCUCUCUCUCUCUCUCUCUCUGUGUGUGUGUGUGUGUGUGUGAGUGUAUCUCCCUUUCUCUCCAUGUGUCACUCUGUGUUGCAAAGAAAAAAAUAAAAAGGGAAGAAAAAAAGAAGUAUUCUUUUAAAGAGGCAAACGUGAUCUAUGAUGGCGGAAUCUCAAAGGAUUGCCUUCUGAGAUGCAUUGAGAUAGUUCUGAUUCCCCUCUCUUUUAUGAGGGUCUUUGGAACCAGAGUAAAGAGGCACUUAGCAAGUGCUGAACCAUUUGCAGAUGGUUAAAAAGAAAGUGCUCUCUGAUCCCUGAAGAGGGAUCUUUUGCUGGGGUUUGAGGUCAGAAUUGUUCGACAGAAAUGCUUUGACACAUCUUCAGAACGGCUAGAUUAGCACGUCGUUUGCUCAGAAGCAUCAGCUACUUUGAGCUAGCACUUACUUUGUUAAAAGGAGCUCUGCCUGUCGUGGUCUUUAGGUGCACUACCUCAUUUAAUCUCUCAAUAACUCCAGAAGCAAAUGCCACCCGUAUUCUCAUUUUACCAGGGAAGAAAUUGAGACCUAAAGAAGUUACACAGCUAGAAAGCACUGAGAUCAGAUUAGAACCCAGUACUGCCUGAUUCAAAAAUCAUUACUUUCAGCAGCCUCAAAUGCUAGCCUUAUACUAUCUUUUUGUGCAAUAUUUGUUCAAUUGCUACCUUCUCCUUUUCCCCAUCUUUCCUGAGUGCAUUGUGCUUCUUUCUUCAUUGGCUUUCCCUUUCUCUUUUUGCUGUUCUAUUAUUCUCACUCUCGCUCAUGUUCACAAGCUCUCAACGUUUAUGAGACAUCUAUAAUGUACCCAGUCCUCGGCUGCUGAGAAAUUCCAUUUCUCUGUUUUUAUUUCUUUUCUUUUCUUUUCUUUUCUUUUCUUUUCUUUUCUUUUCUUUUCUUUUCUUUUCUUUUCUUUUCUUUUUUUUUUGACAGAGUGGACAGAGAGAGAGAGACAGAGAGAAAGGUCUUCCUUUGCCGUUGGUUCGCCCUCCAAUGGCCGCCGCGGCCGGCGCGCUGAGGCCGGCGCACCGCGCUGAUCCGAUGGCAGGAGCCAGGCACUUAUCCUGGUCUCCCAUGGGGUGCAAGGCCCAAGUACUUGGGCCAUCCUCCGCUGCACUCCCUGGCCACAGCAGAGAGCUGGCCUGGAAGCGGGGCAACCUGGACAGAAUCCGGCGCCCCGACUGGGACUAGAACCCGGUGUGCUGGCGCCGCAAGGCGGAGGAUUAGCCUAGUGAACCAUGGCGCCGGCCUCUCUGUUUUUAUUUCACUUUAAUGUCUGCUACAGUACUGGAAAAGCACCCAGUAAAUACAUGGUUUGCUUAGAUGUGGUCCAGUGUUCUUAAAGAACGGAGUAUGUCCCCAGAGACGGGAAGCACUGUUGCUCGCUUCCCUUCCUUCUCUGCCUCCCACCUCCCCUCCCUCUAUCUCUUCCUUCCUCCUAGAGAUAUAAGGGUACUUCAGUUUGGAAAAAUGAAAUAUAAAUAUAAGUUAAUUUUGUAGCAAAAACAUUUGAAAUAGUUUUUUCUUAACACUCAUAUACCAUGAACUUUUUAAAGAUUCCUUGUGUUUUUCAUAUGAAUGUCUGAUGUCAAAUUCUAUGAAAAGUGCCAGGGAUACGAUAAGAUGUACAGAAAGAUAAACACAGUCAACUCUCAGUAUCCAUGAGUUCUGCAUUCAUGAAUUCAACCAACCACAGAUCAAAAAUUUUUUAAAUUGCAUGUGUACUAUAAUAUAUACACACUUUUUUCUUGUCAUUGUAAGUAAUCCCGAGAUGACGUAAUAUAUACAGAAAGGUGUGUAUAGGUUGUAAACAAAUGCUGUGCUGUUUUAUCUAAGGGAUUUGAACACAUUCCAACUUUGGUACCUGUGGGUGGCCCUGGAUUCAAUCCCCCACGGAUAGCAAGGGAGGGCUGUGUAAUGGAAACGUGUUUCUGGAGAGACUGUCAGGCUGCAACACACAUCUCCUGGAGUCCUUGCUUAACACUUAUCUACCACCCACUCAGUAGUUAAGAACAGCGUGCUUUCUGCUGCUGCCCUUCACCAGAACACCGAACAGAAGCACCCUGUGGGCAAGAAAGCAAUACCAGGGUGGAAAUGAAGGAGAAAUGAGGCUGCAGUUAAUUCUUACCCAGUGACCACAAUUUUUGGAGCAGGGAACAGGUAGGACCCGUUGGUUAUGCUUGCACAUCAGGAUCUGAUAAGCAGAGGUGGAAUGGAUAAGCAUGUCACAAACCCUGGGAGCUGGAUGAGACAGCUUUGGUCCUGAAGCUCAUUACCUGUAUGCAUCCACCUGCUAUAGACUAGAUGUUUGUAUCCACCCAAACUCAUAUGUUGAUGCCUUAACUCCCAGUGUGGUGGUUUAAGGAGAUGGGGCCCUGGGACACCUGGGAGUAAUUCAGUUGAGUUGAAUUCCUGAGGGCAGAGCCUAUAGGAUGUGAAUAGUGCUGUUACGAAAAAGCGGGAAGGAAAUAGGAUGUGCAUUUACAAAUACGUGUAUAUGUAUGUGUGUGUACGUAUGCAUCCUCAGUCUUUCUGUCUCUAACACACACACACACACACACACACACACACACACACACACACCUCUGCAUGUGGUGGCACCCUCUAAUCCACAGUUUCACUUUGAAAGGUUUCAGUUUAGGCUGGUGCUGCAGCUCAAUAGGCUAAUCCUCCACCUGCAGCACCAGCACACCGGGUUCUAGUCCCGGUCGGGGUGCCGGAUUCUGUCCCGGUUGCCCCUCUUCCAGGCCAGCUCUCUGCUGUGGCCCGGGAGUACAGUGAAGGAUGGCCCAAGUGCUUGGGCCCUGCAACCCAUGGGAGACCAGGAGAAGCACCUGGCUCCUGCCUUCGGAUCAGCGCGGUGUUCCGGCCACAGCGCACCGGCCAUUGUAGGGUGAACCAAUGGCAAAGGAAGACCUUUCUCUCUGUCUCUCUCUCUCACUGUCCACUCUGCCUGUCAAAAAAAAGAAAAGUUUCAGUUUAUGGUCAGCUUUGAUCCAAAAGUAGUAAAUUAAAAAUUUUUAAAAAUAAACAAUGUAUGAGUUAAAAGCAGAGAAAGAAAAGGCCUGAUAACCCUCUCUCCUCCAUCAGAGGGAAGGGAGUUGUCUUCCAGCCAGGAGCGGAGCUGUCACCGAGGACUGCAUCAGCCAGCACUUUGUGGUGGACUUCCCAGCUUCCAGGGCUGCGAGAGAUGGAUCCUGCUGUGGGAGGUUCUCAGCCUAUGGUGCUGUGUUGCAGCGACCUGUGCAGUGCGGCACCGAGUUUCUCCAGCUACAUGACUAAGAGGCUCCUGUGGAUGACUACGUGAUGAUCAGGCAGUACCCUUCUGCCUUCCUCCCUUCUGAAUGGGGGAUGGAGGGAUAACAAGAUACCAUUCCACAGGCUCACUUGGGGAGAAACAGUGUCCCCCAAAGGAGGUUGCCCUGGAGACUGGGCAGUGGACUCUAAGAAGGUGCUCCCCAUCCUGGCUGACCUUAGUAAAAGAACUUCUGUUUUUCUGGGAGAGAUCUGAGCAACUGCAGUUAAGCAUGGCUCUGUGUUGCUCAGAGUGGAUUAAUGUCACCACAAACGAAAACCACUUUCAGUAGUCUACAAAUCAAAAAGUCACAAUGAGGUGUCACCUCACUCCAGUUAGAGUGACUGUAAAAGAUAAAAAAUAUGAAUACUGGCAAGGCUUGGGGAAAAGGUGGGAAUGUAAAUUGGGGCAAUCAAUGUGGAAAACAGUAUGGAAGUUCUUCCAAGAGCAAAAAUAUGAGCUGGCAACCCUACUGCUGGGUACAUAUCCAGGAGCAAUCAAAUCAUCCUGUUGAAGAGGCGUCUGCUCUCGAUGUGUUUUUCAGCACUGUCCACAGUACCCCAGAAAUGGAAGAACCCAAGUGUCCAUCCACUGAUCAAUGGGUAAAGAAAAUGUCAUACCCAUGCUCGGUGGACUAUUACUGAGCUGUAAAAAGAAUGAAACCUUGUCAUCAGCAACAACAUGGAUGAAACUGGAAGUCAUUGUGUUAGGUAAAAUAAGGCAAGCACAGAAAAGCAAGUACCAGAUAAUCUCACUCAUAAGGGGAGUUUAAGAAAAAGAUGAUUUUGUAGAAAUUAAAAAUAUAAUGAUGGUUAGCAGAGGCUGGGGAGAGAAGAGGAAGGAAAGGCUAAGAAAAGAUUGGUUAACUGGUACUAAGUCAUGGUUAAGUGUAUGAUCCUUUGGGAUUCUGUUACUCAGUCGAGUGGCUGCUACAUAUUUCUCCAUCAAAAGAUGACUAGAGGCCUGCGCCGUGGCUCACUUGGCUAAUCCUCCGCCUGCGGCACUGGCACCCCAGUUUCUAGUCCUGGUUCCUCCUCUUCCAGUCCAGCUCUCUGUUGUGGCCCGGGAAAGCAGUGGAGGAUGGCUCAAGUGCUUGGGUCCCUGCACCCUCUGGGAGACCUGGAGGAAGUACCUGGCUCCUAGCUUUGGAUUGGUGCAGUGCCGGCUGUGGUGGCCAUUAGGAGAGUGAACCAAUGGAAGGAAGACCUUUCUCUCUGUCUCUCUCUUACUGUCUAUAACUCUCUCACUGUCUAACUCUGCCUGUCCAAAAAAAAAAAAAAAGUAGGCUUUUGAAUGAUUUUACCAUAAAGAAAGGCAAAAUGUCUUGAGAAGAUAGAUUUAUUUGCCCUGAUUAGACAUUACACUAUGUAUGCAUAUAUCCGAAGACACAUGAUACCCCAUCAAUACACGUGAUUUUUAUUUUAAUCAUGUAUUUUAAUUAAAAAAGAAUGUUGAUGCUGUUGAUCUUUGAUUUCAAAGAGCAGAACAACCUAGAUAAAGUCACCUGCUACCAGCUUGUUCAUUCAGUGUAUCGUGAAAGGAGACCUCAGAAACUCUGAGCUCCUAUUUCUGAGAUACCACAGGACACAGAAUUUGGAAUUUGUGGAUCAGGGUAUUCCUAGUUUCUUCUAGCAGGUGCUCAUAUAUUUAUUAAAGGGACAAGUUGAGUAUGCCUAAUUCUUUAGGAAAUAUAUAUUCUACUUUUUCAUUCUUUGCCACAUUUGUAUAAUAAUGGAACCAGUGAAAUGCUUUCAUGUAGUCUCUUAUGUAAAUCAGUUCAUGGAAAUAUAAAAGUACAUUAUUGCCUUUA